AAGAAGUAAGUGCUAGAGAUGUGGUGUGAUGUUUUGCAUUCAAGGCCUUUGGUAAAGCUACUAAAGGUAGAUCCAGGGGGUUUCAAAUAAAUCACAAUAUACAGAGCAUCAACAGUGCCAACCAAUGUAUGUGACAAUCAAAGGAGAGCUAAAAGUUUGAAGAAGCAUUUUGGCAAGGUGCAGGUUAAUAUCACUUUUCAUUAUGCAGCCGUGAGUAUCUGCUGCAAAACCUUACCUAUCAGAAGUUGUUUCUCAAAACAAAUUAAAAAAAGAAAUCUCACAAACCAAAAAAAAAAAAAAAAUCACGAAUAAAGGAAAUAAAACAGGAUAAAGCUCAAAGAAUUCCUUUAACUGAAUACAUAGCUCUAGUGCUCGACAAGCUACUCAAAUUUAACCUAGCACAUAAGCAAUUAAAAUAGUUAUAUUUGAUUUAAUAAUUCUAUUCUAAAUUAAAAAUGAAUAAGUAAAUAAACAAAAACCAACAUGGUCAAACCCAAAUAGCUCACAGAAAGGCCUCCCUAAGUUAACAACCCAAGUCUAGUUUCCUUCUGUCUUAGCUAUCCACUCAUCACUUGGUAUAUCUCACUAUCUUUUCGAUAAAUCCCAAAUUUCUAUAUACUUUUCAUGAAUCGUGAUUUUUUUCCUUUUAAUUAAGCUUUGAACAUUGUACUAUUUAAAAGUUACACACUGGUCACAGGUUAUGAAAUUCGUUGUUCUUUUUCUCUUUCAUUUUACACUUGGUAAACCUGACUCCUUUCCCACAAACCCCCUCUAUCUUUCCCACUUUUUUCCUUGGUGACGGGAACACCACCCUCAAGGUUGUAGGUGGAGAAUACUUUCUACUAGGCUAUCCCUACCUUAUCCUCAUGAAAUUUGACCUUGCAACUUAAAUUCUUGUCCCUCGAUCACCAGUUUUAUAAUAUAAAUUUCAGGUUUUGAGAUGUUCAAAUAUGUUUUCACACACUUCAAUGAACAGUAAUGCUUUAUACAACUAAUCAUGGGGUUCAAGCAUUCAAAUACUCAAAAUUUCCUUUCGCAACAACCUGCAUAAAAUGUUACUCAAAUUGAAAUGACUUCUUAAGACCUUAAUUAUAUCACAUAAAAAUUGGACCAUGAGAUAUGAUCUCUAGUAAUCUACCCUUACGAGUAUGUCACAGCCAAACUAAGAUACUGAAAUGGAACUAUGUAUCAGUAUAGCUACUCGCAUUAGGUUACUGAGCUAGUGGCAUUGGUGUACCUAACUGAAGCUUUCACAAAUUCCUGCACCAAACAACCCUUGCCAAAAUCAAAACAAACUAUAAAACACUUCACUUAGAAAAAGACUAGAGUAACUCAGGACAGUAUUUGCCAAUUGAACCCCACAGAAGUUAAGUUCAAUUGGCAAAGGUUGAGGAACUAGUGUCUUAGGCCACAAGUUUGAGCCUUGCGCCAAGUGAACUAAUUCUGGUGUUUAAGUGGAGAAGGGUAGAGUGCAGGCCCAUCAUCUCCGAGUUUCUGGGGCUGCAGUAGGCCUAAUAGGUUGGCUCCAGACAGAUUUCUCAAUCAUUAAAAAAAACACCCAGGACAGUAAAAAGGAUUGAACCAUAUAGUCACUAAGCGCUUGUCUCAAAAAUUGGAAGAAUCGUUCAUAGGGUUUUGAAGCUUCAUAUCUGACAUUUAUAGUAAUAGAUUUACUUCCUUUACUCAACCACUUAAUCUAUGGUAUGGAGUUCAAUCAAGUACCCUGUUCCUUUACAAAAAUGCUUCCUGCACUUAUUAAGUAGAACAGCAAAUGGAGGGUUCGAGGUCUUUAAAAUCUGUCUUACAGUUAUAACAAGAAAAAACAAGUAGAAGUGGUAGAUGGAGAAAUAAGUUCCUGAUUAUGUACCAUUGCAGUAUUCUUGGAGAUUGGCAACAGCAACUUCCAGUCCUCUACUCGCAGUUGCAUUACCGACAGCUGAUGAGAUGGUCAUGGCUUGUCCUCCAAUAUCAUCCUCAGCAAAUGAUCCUAGUAUGUAUGUGGAAAGAUAUGUCACUCUUCAUAAAAAUCAAGGAAAAUGAAGAAAAGAAGUCCUAACAUGAAGAUCCCUGGAAAAGAAGAAUAUUACUGAAUGUAACUGCAACUAGAAGAAGACACUAUUGUUACACUCUUGUAUACCAAGAAAGAAAUCAAAGUCAAGUCCAUUUCUUUUAUCUAAAGAGGAACAUCACGGAAGGAAAGGAUAAGAAAUCCUCAAACAAAAAAGAGCAUUGUGUAAAGUGCAUGCCUCAGUAGAAUUAAGAUAUUAAAAAACUAAGUCUAAAAUAAUACGAGCAAUAAGAAGAAUGAAUAGUGAUUGAGACAAUGGGUCACUGACCAGGACCUGCAAAAUCCAACUGUCACACUAUACCACUCUCAGAUGCGCCCCUCCAGUGGAGAAUUUAUGUGUAAAAAAAGAGUCAUGUGAACCCAUGGUCAUCUGACUAAAAUAGAUUUAUUAUUUGUUAUAAUACUUAAAUAUAUCUAGUAUUAUCUGAAGGCACAAUCAAAAGAGAUUGAGUGGUUCACUGGUUGAGAGCUAGUCCUAACUCCAUCAAGUCAAGGGAUCAAAUCCCACUUACUGCCAUUUGUUUCUUUUUUUUAAAAAAAUCUAGAGCAGCCUUCCUUAUAAAACUGCCCCCUUCAUUUUUGUUUUUUUAAUAUCUCUGAUGAUAUUUUUUGUGAUAAUAUAAUUAAUUAUUUGCUCGCCAAGUUGUUGUCAUCAUAACAUAAAAACUUAAUUUUUUUUUAAGAAAAAAACAAAAGAUAUGAAUCCUCUAGUCCAAUUGUUCCUUUGAAAUUUAUAUCUAAUCUUUAAACAAUGGUGCACCCGUUGUCUUGAAUCCUGGAUUCAUCUCUAGCCUGCCCAAUCCUCAAAAGAGAACGUAAAAAGGAAACGAGCAGCAGGAUAUUCGCAUCAGCUAUUCUAUUAUGCUAUUUACCAUAAAUAUGACAAAUCCCUCAGUAAUGGAAAACAUCUGCAGAAUGCAAACCACUACACAUUUUAAGGCACUGGGCCAAAAUAAUUUGUCGUUCACAAAGUCUCGUAUGAUUAUGAGAUGAUAAUACAGAGAUACAGAUCUUAUGCCAUGGAAACCUCAUGGGAAGACAAAGUGUUAGCUUUGGGUAGUCUAGGAAGGAAAAUCUAAAUCCAGGGUCUACACAGGAAAGAGAGAACCCUGCUUCAGGCUGCUCUAUGCAUUGCUGAUUUUUUUCAUUUUUAGGAAAAGGGAACUGAACCGGAAAAGAAAGAGGACAAAGACAAGAUAGAGAGAAAAUAAAGAGAUUAGAUUCAGGACACUGCUAUAGAACUCUAAAUUUGAAGUCUACUAUAUAAACUGUAAAUUAAAAUUUCAAGGAAAAAAAAAAGGCUAAUGACAUGUUGGCAUCUUUCUUAAAACUAAGAAGCAGACGAUUUUCUUCACUUUAUACAUCGACUAGUAGGUAAUAAACACAAGGAGUUAAUACAAUUGACAGCUGAAACAAUCAUGGGAAAAAAAUUUAGGUAAAGCAAGUGUGAUGUUUACAACAUGAGAAUAUCGAGGAAGCAUAUGGAUCUCACUUAAUUUUUGAGCAAUUGAAGCAGCUUCCGCAACACGACUAUCAUCAGAAAAUAAAGGAGAAAGUUCCAUCAGGUCUCCUGGACUGCCAUUGAACUCCAUCAAGUACUAUCAAAGGAAGCAACUAAUACUGUCAGUUUUAAAAUGAGGAUAGAACUUGUUUUACAGCAUGAACGAAGUAAGUCAGAAGUUCUUUCGUUAACCGAGAAGUUAACCAGUAAAAGUUUACCUUUAUGAGCUCUAUCGUCUGACUAGCAACUUCUCUCUGAGCAUCUGCACUCUGAACACAAAAGGAGAUUCAAUAUAUUCUGAAAAUACUAACAGCAUUCUCUGAUGACAUGGUCUUAAACAGCUUGGAAAACAGAUCAACAUAAAAAUUAUGGAGUUGAGCAAAAGAUUCUCUUUCUUUCUACUCAUAAAAGUAGGCAUUUCAUUAUCAGUAGGAGAAACACACAGUAAAAGUGGAAGAAUAUUUUUCUGGAAAAAAAAACAAGUUGCACUUGACCAUAAAAUAAAAACAUUAACCUUAAUCAAGCAUCAAAACAAGUGCUUACAAGACUUUCAAAAUACAAAGAAGGUAUUAAGCAGCUAUACCUGUAGAUGAUCUCCUAUUUUGGCAGCCGUUUGACCCACACUAGAUAUACGCAAGUCCAACCGUGCAAAGCUAUCAAACAAGCCGUCUACACCUUUUUCCAGCUGCACAAUGCAAUGUUCUUAAACUUGAGGCCUUUAUUUAGGUAAAAAGAAGCUCCACACAGCAUGAAGGAUAUUGAACACCUUUGGAAGUACACAGGGAAGAGAGAGACACUGAUCGAAACAAGUGGAUCAACUCUCAUUUUCAUAAAACAAAUUUCAGAAGUAUAUUGAAAACAGCCCCAUACAUACUGUGAUUUAAAAUGUUACUCAACAUCAUUUUGUCAUUAUUUAUUCUAUCAAGACACUUAUUAUGGGGCAGAGUACAACACAAUGAGGUAAUUUAUUACAAAGAUAUUUUCCAGAAAAAAUAUUUCCGAUGACUGAAAUAUUAACUUCAUCUCAUAAUGGCCACGAUACUGAAUUCAAUACACUAACCUCAGAAAGUGUCUUCCGGUGCUCUGAAUCUUGGACAACAACUUCCUUUUUAAGAUCACUAAGGUUCCCAUCAAUCUUUGAUUAAAUAUGAGGGGAUUAGAAUAAAAGUCAUCAGCAAAAGUAUUAUCUCACUGAAUCCACAUAUAAUGCUUUACCAUACCUGUUUUCUUAGAUCAACCAAUUGUUUACAAGAAUUCUUAAAUAAGGAUAAUAAAGCAUUAACUUCAGGGAAUAGGGGACUUGACAGUCCUUGUGCUGACUUUCCCGCAUCUGGUGGUGCUCGCAAAUUCCCAUUUGGUAGAGCAUCACUUCCAACACCAUUUCCAUGCCCUUCCGCAGAAUCUGAUUCUUCUUCUUGAUAAGAAGGCAAUAUCUCAUUCACCAAGUUACCAAACAAGCCAUCAAAGGAGAAAGCCCCCUGCAUUUAGUAAAUAGAGCACAUUGCUGUCAGUUAACUACAAAAUUUCUAAAGCUUAAGUUGGGAUAAUCUUCCAGUCAAAUUAAAUGGUAUCCAAGGCAUCACCUUAAAAUCAUCUAUGUCAAGAACAAGCGGAUCAGAGUCGGCAGAUGCAGAUCCUGAAAACCUGUCAGCCGUCAUUCCAUCUCUAGACUCUCUCAUCUAUUCUAAGUCAAAAGAAAAUGGAACCAGAAAUUAUCUCAGUCAUCUUCACUAAAUAACUGGAUUGCAAUCAUUUGACAAGCAGGAAAACAAAGUUAAAAAGUAGCAUAAAGUUGGUGUACAACAGAAGAACUGUGAUCAGUCCUCAUUUAUUCAUUGAAAACAGCUAUAUGACAGACAAGUAACGAAGAAACAGGUAGCAACAAAAAAAAGUGAAUUUUUUACUAAUAUAAAUUAUGCAAGGGAAAAACAAAAGCCGCAAGACUUUCAGCAAUUUCAUACAAAAUCAAAAUUCAGAUGAGAUAUAAGUGUGCAUAUUUGCCAUAUCCAUUAACUACUAGAUCUGCUCUAGACUAACCUUAUACUGAGCAGGGACACUUUUUUACCGAUUAAAUUCUAAUUUUAUUAAUAAGGGAGAAAAACUCCCGUAUAUGAGAGGUAUACCAAAAAGAGUAACGAAUAUAGAAAGAUAUGAUUCUCUACGAAAGACAUCCAAUAUUCUACAGAAAUGAGAACUUCAUAGGUGCAAGCAAAAGACAUUAAAAACAUGAGGUAACCUCAAAUGUACAAAAUCAAGCUUUUUCCCUACAAAAACUCUCUUAUUUCUCUCCCUCCAUAUUGUCCAUAUGAGUGCUUAUGAAACAACAUGCCAUGUCUAGUACCUGGCAUAGUCCAUUGUAUCAUGAACUAUCUUGAGAUCUCCCACCCAUACUCGUGAUGCUCCCUGACAAUUCAGUAAGAGAUGAUCCACAUCCUCUUCUAAGUGUUUACCCUUGUGCACAAACCAACAUAUGUAAUCAGAAUCCUACUCUUUCUCAAGUUUUCAACCAUCAGAAUCACACCUCUAACCGCCAACCAAGAAAACAAAAUUCAUCUUUCUUGGCACCAUGGGGAUUCAAACUAAUAGAUGAAGGAAACUUGAUUUCUCAAACUAGAAAUGUACAACAAUAACUCCUCACUGAGCAGGAACAGAUAUUUGUUCUUACAUCACCUUCAACUAAAUUCUGAUGUCUCAUUUAAAACAACCAAUACCUUAUAGCACUCAUCCUGAUGUUAUGGAUAUCAAUGAUACAUGUGUUCUUUUUUUAAACUGGUAACAUUUGUAUUUCAUAUAGUACUUAGGUAGUACUGAAAAACAUAUUUAUUUACAAAAGCAGAAAGGAAGUAUAAUCUAUCCAAAAACUGAACCAAAUCUAAAUGGAUCCUAAAACAUCUAUGAUUGACUCAGUUUCAUUGGAGUAGACAUUUGUACACCAAAAGCAAAACAACAAAAUACACUUGAGCUUUACUUCCUGGAGGUUGUUGUUCCUAUUCUCAAAAUAUCUAUCGUUCUCUCCCUCCAUAUAGUCCACCAAAUACUUUUUUGAAACUGGUAACAUUUGUAUUUCAUAUAGUACUUAGGUAGUACUGAAAAACAUAUUUAUUUACAAAAGCAGAAAGGAAGUAUAAUCUAUCCAAAAACUGAACCAAAUCUAAACGGACCCUAAAACAUCAUGAUUGACUCAGUUUCAUUGGAGUAGACAUUUGUACACCAAAAGCAAAACAACAAAAUACACUUGAGCUUUACUUCCUGGAGGUUGUUGUUCCUAUUCUCAAAAUAUCUAUCGUUCUCUCCCUCCAUAUAGUCCACCAAAAACAAGCAGGGAUCAUCCUCCAUCUUUCUCUGUUUGUAGCCCCCAACUCCCAGCCAUCUCCCAACUGAAUAGAGUCUCAUCAAUCUUGCUAGGCAUUCUCCAAGAUAUGCCUCUGAGAUUAAGGAAAAUCUGCCACAGCUGCCCAGUAAAGUUGCAAUGUAAGAAGAGAUGUCUCACUGUCUCAUUAGCCUUACCACAUAAGGAACGUCUGUUGCAUAGAGAGAUUCCUCUCUUGGCCACAUUAUCCAAUGUCAAAACUGCUUCAUUGGCUAGUAGCCAUGUAAAGCAUGCCACUUUGUGUGGCACUUUGAUCCUCCAGAUUUGCUUCCAAGGCCAUUUGAAGCCUUGAAUGCCACCAAACUUAUUUGUUUGUAUCCUUCUUUCACCUUGUAACUACCUUUGUUGUGCCCCUGCCACCAUAAAUAAUCCUCACUUGUUUGUAUACCUUGGAAAUUCUCUAGAACCUUAAACAGUUCAAGUAUUCUGGGAAUUUCUUAGUCAUUCAGAUUUCUUCUAAGGAUCAGAUCCCAGCCUUGUUGUGUCCACAUUUCAGCGACAGUCUUCUGUUGGUGUUGAGCCAAUGUAAAGAUGUCAAGAAAACGAUCUUUGAGGCUCAUACCACCCAUCCAUUUAUCAAACCAAAAACUGGUUUUUCUGCCAUUUUGUACCUUGACAAUUGACUGAUUACUCAGGAAAGGCCAAAAUAUUCUGGUGGAUUUCCAAAGGCUAAUCCCAUAGGGGGUAUUUACCUCUUUGGUUACCCAUUUAUUCAGCUCCUCAUACUUGUUGUUGAUCACCCUAUACCAUAGUGCUUGAUCCUCCUGGUGGUACCUCCAUAACCAUUUCACCUUAAGAGCUUUGCUAUGGUUUUUGAGAUUCUUGAUACCUAAUCCACCUUGCAUCUUACUUCUGAUGAUGUGUUCUUCCACUUGACUAAGUGAAAGCCUUUUCUUUCCUUAUUUCCUUGCCACAGGAAGUUUUUUCUAAUCUAGUCCAACUUCUGAACUACUGACUGGGGAAUAUGGAAGAGCAUUUAGAACCAGAGUUUAUCAGAGUUAAUCUACCUCCCAAAGAGAGGUAUUGUGAUCUCCAUCUAGCUAGUGUCUUUUCGCAUUUCUCCAAUAUUGGGUUCCAAAUGUCUAUGGAUCCCGACUUUGCCCCCAAAGGCAUGCCCAAGUAUACUGAUGGCAGAGUACCUAUCACUCCUCCCCAAGGUUUGUGAGAGGUGUUCCAUAUCUGGAACCACAUUAAUUGGAUACAAAUGGCUUUUGUUCUAGUUUAUAUGUAGUCCAGAUAUGGCUUCAAAGUAAACUAGUAUAAGUCUCAAAAUCAGCAAUUGCUCCUCCUCAGCCCCACAAAUAAUUAGUGCAUCAUCGGCAUACUGCAGGUGUGUGAUCUCCACACUAUUCCCAGCAACCUUACUGACUUCAAAUCCAUGUAUUCUUCCUGUUGUCUUGGCUAUCUUCAACAUAUUGUUAAGCCCCUCCAUAGCUACGAUCAACAGGAAGGGUGAUAAGGGAUCCCCUUGCCUGAUUCCUCUGUGUGCACUGAAAAAGCCUUCAGGAGAUCCAUUGUUGAGUACUGAAAACUUAACAGUUGAAAUACAAAACUUGAUCCAAAGGAUCCAUCUGCUACCAAAUCCCAUCUGUCUCAACAUAAAUAGAAUGAAAUCCCAAUUCACAUGGUCAUAUGCUUUCUCAAUAUCAAGUUUGCAUAGUAUACCAGGUUUCUUCUGGGACACUCUAGAAUCAAUUGCUUCGUUAGCUAUAAGCACUGCAUCCAUUAUCUGUUUGCCUCUAAUAAAAGCCAUCUGUUGUUUGUCUACCAACUUAUUCACAACUCUCUUCAACCUUUCUGUCAAAACCUUGGGCAUUAGCUUAUAGAAGCUUCCAAUUAAGCUGAUGGGUCUGAAGUCAUUGAGUUCCUUUGCUCCUAUCUUCUUGGGAAUCAGUGUUAUGUAGGUUGCAUAAUAGCUCUUUUCAAACAUCCAGUUGACUGAAAAUUGUGGAAAGCCCCCAUAAUGUCAUGUUUAAUGAUCUCCCAGCAAUUAAAAAAAAAAAAACCAUUGUGUAUCCAUCAGCACAGGGGCUUUGUCUAUAGCACACAUUUUUAAACACUCAAGUACUUCUUGUUCCUCAAAAUCUGCCAGCCACCCUCUGUAUUGGUAGGAUGAUAAUGAUACAUGUGUUCUCAAAAAGCAUCUAACCAUCUAUAGGCUUAUUCCUAGUUCGAAGAAAUUCCAAGGUGAUUCAUAAAAGACUUGAAUCAGCCCUUGUCGCUAAUAGGAUAGCAUGUUCACAACUGCCAGAAUAAGUUAUACUUCUAGGCCAAUCAAACUCACAUGCUGGUGGCAAAGCAAAAUCACAACAUUAAAUAUCAGUGGCACUUGCUAUUAUUAUAAAAAAUUUGCCUAUGUGAGCUCGCUCACAUUGCGGUCCCAAGCCAGGAUAAAGGAAGAGAGUGGUCAAUCCGAAGCAGCCUCUCUACCCUAUAAAGGUAGGGGUGAGGUUGCGUACAUCUUACCCUCUCCAGAUCCCACUUGUGAGAUUACACCGGGUUUGUUAUUCUUGUUGUUGUUGUACUUAGUAUUAUUAUAAAAAUAGAAGGUUGUGAUUAGUCCAAAGGGCGGCGGAUCACAGACGGAUUUCUCGGUUAUCAAAAAAAAAAUAGAAAUAAUGGAGAUGGAAAGCUGAAAUGGCAUAUGACCAUGUAAUUGACAAUUCCCACCAAAGUUGUAAGAUCCAUCGGCAUUGUCAAAUAUAGUCUGGUUGGAGUAAGCUUGUAUCUUAUCUUUCAAACUAAUUACCAACCGCAUACCUAGCAAGCGAUUCCUCCCCUCUUUGUAUGGAAAAGCUUUUAAAAGCCUAUUAGUUAGUAUUAGUAACAAAACUAGUUAAGGGGUUCGUAGUUGUCGCAAUCGGUUAAUUUAGUUGAUCUUGGCUUUGCAGCAAGGAGACCCUUUUCUUGUAUAGCUUCUAAAGGUUCCUUUUAGUUUCUCUUGGCUUUGAGACAAUAUCCUUUAUUUUAUUUUUUUAUAAGACAAGUUCUAUUAAAAAGGUACCAAUAUGGAACAAAAUUUAAAAAAAAACCCAGCAAUAACCACAACAAGGUAACUACAUUCCUCCCAUCUACUCUAGAAAAAACAUAUAUUGUUCCAUAUUUUUCUAUAACAUGUCUUUUAGACCAUAAAUACAAAGUUAAUAAGCAUCUAUUUUUAAUCCCGGAUACAUGAUGCAUUUACCCUUCAAAGAAAAUUCUAUUUCUUUCCAACCAUAUUGUCCAUAAAAAACAGAGAAAUUUUUCUCCAUACUAUCUUUUGUUUUUUGCCAUUGUUUGGUGUUGCCAUGUCUCCAACAAACUCUUUAUACCUGAAGACAUUUCCCACUUGACACCAUAUAUGUUUAGGAAGAUCUCUCAGCACUGUCUUACCACUUUGCAAUGAAUGAGUAUAUGAUUAACCGUAUCUGCUUCUUUUCACAUGUAACACCUAUUACAUAGAAUACUUCCUCUCUAAUGCAAGUUCUCCUAAGUUAUGCAAGCUUCCUUUGUUGCAAUCCAACUAAAACAAGCUACUUUAACUGAUGCUUUUGGAUUUCCAUAAAUUACUGAUUGUGAUAAAGCCCUUGUUAUUUUUGUAACAGACUAUAACAUCAGUUGACUGUGAAAAUACCAUCAUUGCUUGCUUCCCAGAUUAAUGAGUCUUUCAUGUUGUCCUCCAAUCUAGUGUCAUCAAAAGCAAAAAGUGCAAAAAAAAAGCUCUAAGGCAUGUUGGGGCUUUGAGUGCAAACCGCAAAUGAAAAGUGAGCUUUAAUGAAAAAAGGCGCAAAGGGAGACUCAAUACAAAUACAUAAAUGUUUAGUUCAAAACUAAUAAUUAUAAGUAUGAAUGACAAAUAUAUGAACAACGAAAUAUUAAAAAAGAAUUAGGAUAAAGUGAAAUAUCAAUUGUUUAGGGUCGCCUCUUCUGAAGAAACUCAUUGGCAAGGAAAAGUAUGUCUCAAAACGUUGAUGAUGACAUUGAAGCGCACAUUAAGCGAGGCGAAGCACUCAACACGUUCUGAGCCUCGCUUCAGGACUUAAGCGUGCCUUCGACAACACAGCUCCAAUCCAGUGUCCAAUAAUUGCAUCAAUCAAGCAAAUUCAUAUACUUCCCAUUGAGAGACCCCUCCUAAAGAUAAGCUGUCAACCAAUGCUUUAGUACAAGUCAGAUACCUUUCAUUUUGUUUGUGGAGCAGCUAUACAAAACAAAGAACUUUGAUCUAAAACUUUCACUUCCCAGCCAUACAUCAGACAAGAGUUGGGCAUUAUUAACAUUCCCUAGUUUCAGUUUCACAAACUGAUUAUAUUGAUUCAUUAAAUUACUGAUUGUGCUCCACACUCCCCACUUAAAAGAAGAUUUAACUGAGCAUGGAGCCCACAUGUCUUUCCAACCACACUUGGCAUCUAUCAACUGUUUCCAUGAUUUUUGCUGUCAUCAUUAUAUCUCCAAAGCCGUUUAAAUAAAAGGCUCUUGUUAUGCAACUUUAGAUUCCUCACUCUCACCCCCUCUUGGAACAAGGGACCUACUUCUCAUCCUAGGAGUAAGCAGGUAGAAAGAAUCCCCUCUCUUUUUUUUUGUUUUCUUUCAUUUGACCAAAUGGAACUUUUGUUAUCAACAAUGUUAUCAACAAUGCCUUCCCACAGAAAUUUCUACCUCUUAGUAAUCAACUUCUUCUCCACUGCUGUUGGCAUUUUAAGAGAGACAUCAAAUAAAUCGGUAUACCAUCCAUGACACUGUUGAUCAGUGCAUGUCAACCCCCAAAAGAUAAAUGUUGUCUCCCAUGGCACCAGUUUACUGCUACACCUAUCCAGGACCCCUAUCACAUCUUUGAAUUCUGUUUGCCUCCAGGUGGUAGGCCUAAAUAGAUGGUUGGUAGUUGCUCCACCUUACAGCCCAUGACAUCUGUCAGAUCAUCAAUACAAUGCUCAACACUAAUACUAAACACAUUAUUCUUGGUUCAAUUACAAGCCUGAUACAACCUCAAAAGCUAGUAAUACUCCUCUGAGAUGUAAGAGUUUAUCUUUUUUAGCCUAUGCUUCUUUAGCUUAUUCUAUUUAUUAUAAGUCUUGAGCAAGAUGUUGAAGAAGCCAUUGUCGACAGAUUACUCUCUAAAUUACAAGCCAAAGAUGAACAAUGUACUGUCCCAAGAUUGAGGAUUGCGGAAAUCUGAUAACCAUCAUCUAUUUACUUUUUCGCUAACAGUGCAUACUUCCUGUACCUUAGAUGAGUACAAAUGCUGAAUGGCACUUAAUGUUGCAUCAGAGUUGCGUUGAGAUUACGCGUCAUACACAUAACAUAAGUUCAUUCUGAUUAAUGAUGUUUCAAAUAUCCAAAAUCUUGCUAGUCUUUAGGGGUUGUGAGUAUCUGCAUCUCCAUCUAGGCUCUAGAUGCAGCACUAAGGUUUUGGUUCCUAUGAGUUCAAAUUUUGGCAGAAUGAUGGCUGCCUUGGGAAAAUCAUACCUUUCUAGCAAAAGUAAGUCAUUGUGCAAACCUACGUGUGAAAAAGUAAUAAUGCCUCUAGAAUAACUGAAGGGAAAAGAGAUAUUACUUAAUAGUAGAGUGAAGACAAUACUCUCCUCACCGUGGGUAAUUUGGGUAUUAGAUUCUGUCAUCCUUCAAGUAGGCAAGUGAUUGUUGAUGAUUUUGGAUAUCCUCCAACAAACAGAGAGUAAGUGGAGGGGAGUAGCUGCAAUGUACUACGGGACUAAAACAUAUGACUGCCAUUCUUUAGCAUUUUCUACAUCUUAAGUUAGUGGAGUAUGGAGAGUUUUUCUUCUUCUUCUUUUGGGUAAGUAGUGUAGUGGACUAUGGAGAGGAAUUAUUGAGGGAAAAUUGAGUUCUCCAAGUUCAAUAAUUUCAUGGUAGAAGCAAACUUUGAAUUUGGCUUAUCAACUCAGUGUCAAAGACUCUUCCGGUGGAUUCUCUCAAUUUUCAUUUUUAAUCAUCCCUCAAUGUGUGAAGUGAAAGACACGAAAAGUCCCCUUGCAAUAAGCUCUCAACACCAAGAAGUAUGUCCACAUGACAUGUUGGUGAUAGUAGAAAAUGGCAUGUGGUGAGCAAGGACAAAAGAAAUGCAUUGGAACCCCUUUACAUGUUCUGGUCAUUUUGGAUGGAAGAAAUAGAAAUGAUUUUAAUGCUAUUGAAAGUCUCAAUUGGGAAUCAAAGGGCUCCAUUUAUUUCUUAUCUAAAUACAUAAUGUUGAAAUGUCUAGAUGGACAGAUACGUGACAGCAUAGCUUUGUAAAUCGUAAGACCAUCUUUAGCAGCAUCGCCUUCUCCUUCUGAUUUCCAUACAUCUCAAUAUAGGAGUCGGUUUAAGGCACAUACUCCGAGCUACUCAAUUUAAAGUGCAAUAUGCCAUUGUUCCUUCCCACCUUUUAAGCUGGUUGGGAGUUUAUAAUAUUGGCUAAUUUCAAGUUUCAGCAUCAUCCUUUCUCUUGGAAUAUCCUAGGAUUGCAAAUUCCGUCGUCCUAUUUAUCUUUUUUAAUUAAGGUAAAUUAUUUUACUAAUAAUGGGAAAAUCUCUGGUAUAUAAGCAAUAAAUAUACCAAAAAGUAGAGAAUUUACAACAUUUGUUGUCCUAUUUAUCUUAGGGUCGCAGAGAUUUAAUUUACGCUAUGUUUGGUGAAAUAAUAAAAUCUUCAGAUAUCCAAAAACUAGCAAUUUCAGAAGAUAAAGCCGCAAAUUCCUUCCUCUUUUAAGAACCUGAUCUGUUUCCCAAUAACUGGAGAAUACUAGACACUGCCACUUCAGUGGAAGUAGUAGAUGAGAUAUCAUCACCGCGUCACUCAACAUCAGAGCAAUUAUUAACAGGCAAAAAGAAGAAACACAGAAUAUAAGCAUAAAAAACUCCACCUAGCAGCAACAUGUACAUCAAAAAUAGCUAACAUCAAGAUGUCCAUAGUAAAGCAAAAUUAAGGAACCAACUGUUUUACUCCAAUUUCAAUCUAGAACAAAGAUGUGAGCAAGAGAAAUUAUUUAACAUAUAUAGUUGCAAUAGCAGAGAUCAACUAACGAAAUUAUAAUAAUAUCUUACUUAACGACUCAGAUGUGAAGCUGAAGAGUAUUAUUCCUCACAACAGACUUAGAAAACUAAAAGUUUCAGAUUCAAACCCUUCAAUUACAUAACUUUAACAGUAAAAAGGAAAAUCAAACAAAAUAAGAGCUGAUCGCUACAAACAUCCAGUUAAACCUGCAAGGGAAUUACUUCUUUUUUUUCAUAGACCCAAUUUGUUAGAUAAUAAAUUACACAGAAACACAAUUACAAGAAGUACAAAACAUAUAUAUAUUGAUUAAACUGUUUAGAGAAAUAACUCGCCUCUUUUGCUCAAUUAUGCUUCGAGAAAUGCUGAAAUGGAGUUCGCUUUGUUUCCAGCAAAGUGGCGAUCGAGAUGAACAGUCGAAAAUCUGAGGAAUAACAAGAAGAAGAAGAAUACGGCUUUCCUUGGAGUAGAGCGAAGAAGAUCUCAAUGAGCUUUAGUUUAUUUGUUUAUAAUUUUCUCCGUUGUAGACCGAGAAGUUCAGAGUCAUGGAGUAAGGGACAACAAAGGAGAGGUUACAGGUUAGAUCCGCUCAUUUUUUAUGGGCCGGGUUGGCCUGUUUACCUGGUCUCUUCUUUUUCACCUCGGAAAGAAAUAGGCUUCUUUUGUUCAAAAAUAUAUUAUUAAUAAUAAUAUUGAAUAAUAUAAUAUAAAGCUAUAUAUAAACAAAAAAAGAUAUAAGAGAAAAUAUUUUAUUUAUUAUUUUUCUGCGUAUAUUACGGAAUGAGAAAUACCUUUUUAUACGGUAUAAAUUCACUGAAUGUUAUUUCUCCUUUAUGAGAGUGUUAAUAAGAUCUGUUAUACAAGUAUUAAUAUCAUAUAUGUAUAUCUAAAAAACAUUCAUUUCAAUUGUAUUGAAUAUAGUGAAUUCACCAACAAGGGUUGUGGUGGAGUGGUAAGUACUCCUUCAUUCUUAACUAAGACGUCUUGGGUUCGAGUCCCCUUGGGUAUCGAAUCGCCUUUGUUAGGGAGCGUUUUACCCCCAAUGUGGGACUUCUCGACGCUAAUAUGGAUUUAAUCGGGUUCCAAUGUGGGUACGAAUAUAGUGAAUUCAUAACACUAUUAUAACUUUACUAUGUUAAAUUCAAUGGAAAAAAGUAGUACAUAUAUCUUGUAAAAAACUUUGAGUGUUGCCUUAUUAAAUAUUUUAUUACAAAAAUUCAAUGGGACAAAUCCAUAAAUAAAGGAAAAAAGUAUGAUGCGUAUUUUACUUCUCCUUGAUGAAAGUUUUAAUUGAUUACUGAGAGUCGAUGCAUUUCAAUUUCAUAUUUUAAUUUCUUAAAUGUUGGUGUUGGCUAAAAAAAGGUUCAAUAUUAUUACUUGAACGGAUUUGUUGAACACCUAUCUCACCAUUUCGUUGAAGAUCAUGUAUACAAAAAAAUGGUGCAAUAUGAUUUAUUUGUUCUUCUUGAUAUUCUUUUUUUUAAUUGAGCUAUAAAGCAAUAUUUUUUUCAUACAGUCUUUUGUAAAUCUUUGUUUGCAUAGAAAGAUCACAUAAUUGCAAAAUAUGUUGAGUCAUUGAUCUAAACCAUACGCAAAAUCCGCUGACUUCAUAAAUGACUAUUAGAUUUGCAUUAUUUAAAGAAGUGACGACUAUUUAUUGUUUCAUCGAACAUCAUAACAUAAUUACACCUCCAUAUGUUAAUAGAUAACCUACUUGAGAUCUGAUUUUAUGUGGGUAGGCAAAUAUUUUGCAUGCAUAAUCGAUUAUUACACAAAAGGAAUUCCUUUCUUGUCCAAUACAAAAUUGAAUAUAAGAAAAUACUUUCCAGAAAAAACAAAAAAAACAAAAAAUUAUUUUUCUGGCUACGGAUUUAUGGAACCUGGCUUAUUUCUUACUUGGAUGCAUUAGAAUAAAAUAAUUUCAAAUUAAUUAUUGCUUGAAAAUAUCUAAAUAUGUGCUUAACACCUUUUUGGUGUGCUGCAAAAUAUAUAUCUGAUUAGAUCAUAUUAACAAAGCACAUUUGUUUCCAAUAGUACUGAUAUGUAAGAUUUUAUAACCAUUAGGUUCUUGAUCCUUUUAUUGAUAUUAAAAUAAAUUUUUAUUUUUCAAGCAAUCUCACAUUCAUUGAAAUACUUAAUAAGAUCGUUUUAAAACCUUUUAAAUUAUUCAAGGAUUUUUAUAUAAAUUUUAUUGUCUAUUUAAACUCGACAACAAUUUUAUCAUACACAUUCAAAUUUUCAUAUAUCACUAGACCAAAACAAAUCUCAUUGCAUUCACCACAUGAGAACACAUCCUUCAUAUAAUAAUGUCUGGAUUUUUAGUAAAAAAGUUUCCUAAGAUAUAAAUUGUAUUUUACAUUUUGUGAUUUUAUUUUUUUCACAAUAACCUAUUCCGACUUCAUUAGCAUCAUACCUAGUUGUUGAGACUUGAGUCCAAAAUUAUCAUUUUUUAUCAAAUGAAUAAAAUAUAUUGUCACAAUCCGACUUGUCUAUUUCAAUCAAGACAAGUCAGUCUCAACCAACGAAACGAAAAAAAAAUGUAAAAAGUAAAACAUGAAUAACGUAAAAGCGGACAACUUAUUCAUUAUAACAAUAACCCCAAAAUCUGAUUGUCACAUGUACAAACCACUAAUACAGACAAAAUUUAAAAGACAAUACAAGUCUCAAUGGCUUUGAUUCUAGAAAAGAAAAAAGCAUAAAUAAGGAACAAGAGGGCCCGCCGAAAUGACAAUCAACUACCUUUCAAAGUCCUUUGAUAGCCUCAGAAAUAGGUUAAGAAGAAGAAGAUCACACGAGUCCGGGCUCAGAACCUACACAAGUGUAGAAGCAAUGAGUGAGUAUAAAACAACACGAUACCCAGCGAGCAACCUACUAAACAAAGCAAAACUAGAUAGAAAUUGAGUAAUCCUUUCAUCCCAAUCGAAUCUCCUCAUACUACAACUUGCAUAGAAAUCAGCCCAACCUAACAGUUCUACAAUAUACAACUCACAAGGUUUAACAAUCAUAGUCCAGUAGUCACAGUUCAACAACCCACAAGUAUCAAGUAUGUCAAUCACAAGUAUUAAGUAGAUCACUCACAAGUAUCAAGUAGAUCAACCACAAGUAUCAAAUGCAUCAUUUUCCAGUAUCAAGUUCCUCAAAUCAUAGUAAUCAAAUACUUGCCGGAAUCAUUUUCCAUCAACACAAUAUCACUAGCCGAAAUCAUUUCCCAUCGAUUUUAUAUCAUAUUACUAGCUUGAACCAUUUUUCUUUUGCGUUAUAUCACAUCACUAGACGGAACCAUUUCUCUUUGGCUUUAUAUCAUAUCACUAGCCGGAACCAUUCCCCUUCGACUUUAUAUCAUAGCACUAGUUGGAACACUUUUUCUUCGGCUUUAUAUCAAAUCACUAGCCGAAACCAUUUUCUUUCGGCUUUAUACAACACAUGUCUCAUCUCAUAGCACAACAAUCAAAUGCAAAUAAGUCAUUUCUCACCAUAAGAAAUAGACAAUAAUUCAAGCAAUUCAAGGCAACAACAAUGACAUCAAGGUUUUUCAUCAAUCAACAAUUUAAGUCCACAACAAGCCAAUUCACAAAGCAUUAUGAUCAACACUGCCUUUUUCAUUAAUUUCCUCUUUUAUUCAUUAAGAUUAAUCAAGUGGAACAAAUGAAUCCACCACCUCAUUCCCAUUAUUCCCUAACACACAUAAUGAAUGGAAAAUACAUGAAUUUUACAAGUUUUAGAAAGUAUUUGCCUUAAUUCAAUCAGGGUUGUGGUGGAGUAGUAAUUACUCCUUCAUCCUUAACCAAGAGGUCUCGGGUUCGAGUCCCCUUGGGUAUGGAGUCACUUUGUUAGGGAGCGUUUUUUUACCAUGUCAGCACGAAUUCGAAUUUAGUCGAGCUCCAAUGUGGAUACCGUACACCGGGUGGGAAACCAAAAAAAAUCAAUCAAAGUCAAUUCAAGACUUGAGUCUUCCCCUUCCGAAUAAUAUCCAAAGCCUUACAAUCUAGUAACAACUUUCAAUUCAUACAUUUUGAAAAAAUUGGUCAAUCAACUCAAAAAUUCAAUUUCGAAAAGAAAGUUUGAAUCCGAAAACUUUUACUUGAAAAUAUUAUCUAAGGCAUUUGAAAUUCAUUGGUGAAAACCAUUUCGAAAAAGGAUUUAAAAUCAAUUCACAAUCACCAUUUCACUUUAGAACUCAAGUUCUUGAAAAACAUAACCAUUUGUCAAUCAAAAUCUCAAGUUUUGAUGUUAAAAUCCAUAAAUAAUUAAUGGGAAAUGAAGUUUUAGAAUUACAAAGGCUUACCCAAAUAAUUUAACGCAAGAAUACUCUUCAAAAGCGCCUCAAAGGAUUUUACUAAGCUCAAAAUGAAAAAUGAAAAAUGGGUAGAACCCCGAAAAUGGCAAGCAUAAACCCCUUUGAUGUCGCAAAAGCGAACCCCGAAUAAAAUUCGACCUUCGCAAAAGCGAACAGAUUUUCGCUAAAGCAAAGGUCGCGAUCGCAACAUACUCCAUCACGAUUGCGAAGGUCAAGGGAACUGACCUCUCGUGAACAUGAAAAAUGCUUCGCUGAAGCGAUGCUCGGUAAAGCAAGCCAUCCAUCGCUAAAGCGAAGCACAUAGACAUCAGAAAAUAUCAACCAAGUCUCAAAACAUCAAAUGGAUCCUCGGGAUUCGUUUGAAACACCAUACAUAUAAAUCAUAUAUGUGACUAUACUUGACGUUUCAAACUCAAUGAAAUCGGUAAAACACGAAUCUAAGAUCUCUUUGACCCGAAACUCGUGAAAGUCACAUGAAACAAACAUAACGCCUAAAAAAGCCAAAUCAAGCUCGGAACUUCUAAAUAUUCAAUCAAAACAUCAUCAAGGUCUAAAAUCAUCCCACGAAUCUAAUGGAACUCUUGAAAUUCUGAUUCGAGCAUCUGAACCUCAAAAGGACUCAGAAUCAGAAAUUGACAACACUCUUAGAUCUAAUUUUAUAUUUUUGGACGAAUAGAAUCAAUAGAAUCUCAUUCCGACACUCGAAACUCCAAAAGACUCCGAAAAUCACUUUUUAAUAACUUCAGCCUUUUGAAAUAAAAAACUUUCAAAAUUCACAACUUCCACUCAAAGUUCGAAAUCAACUUUCAAAACUCAAUCAGAAAUGACUAGGGAUCGAUAACGAGGAUUGGGGGGGGGGGUAAAAUGAUAAAUUUAUGAAAAUUUCCAAAAAUGACCUUCCGGGUCAUUACAUAUACGUAAAUCAUCUAUUUUAUCUGAUCAAUCAUUUAUCUGGCCGCAUUUAUCUUUGUUAUCAUUUAUAAUAUUGAGGGUUACAUUAUAUCAAAGAUGUCAUCGACGGUCAUUUGAUAUCGAUUUUAAUACAACAUAACUUAUUGAGAUUUCUUCAUUUUUCAUCAUUUUUAGGUACUUGAAUUAUGUGUAAUGUCGUGGUUCUCUUUUAAAGGACCUAUUUGCCCCUAAGAAUACUUGGGAAAAACUUGGGGAAAACUUGGGAAGUGGUGUUUGGUCAUAUAACUUGGCAAAUAUAUUUGCCAAGUUCCCAAUUACUAGAAAAAAACUGGUAUUUGGGCCAAGUUAUAAUAUUUGGGAAUUUUAAAAAAUUCAAAAGUUACCCCAAGCUUUAUAUUUUAUAUAAAAAAAAAUACUCAUUAUUUAUUAAUUCCAACUAAUAUUUGCUACUACCUACUCUGAAAAAGUUUGAGUUCUAAUUUGAGUGACAAAAUUGAGACAAAAGGAACAAUUUGUGUUUAAUGAAUUAUAAUUAUAACAGAAUCAGUGACAAGUUUGAGUAUGCGAUUAAUGUAUUGUCUUGUCAAUGUUGUUAUUGUUAAUUGUUAUCAAUUAUAUUAUAAGGUUAUUUUUUAAUAGAACAUAUUCAUUAUAAAAUGAUAAUACAAAUUUAUGGGUAUUUUAAUAGUUUUAAGAACUUAUAGAUAUAAAUCAUAUUUUUUAAAGUCAAAUAUUCUUAGAAAAACUUGGAGCCAAACACAUUGUGUAAUUUCAGCAAAAACUUGGCCCAAAUAUUAUUUGCCAAAAAUAUUUGAAAACUUAGGACCAAACACUAACAAAGUAUUUGCCUUAUUACCGAUGUCCCGAUCAUUUGCUCCUUUUCUUCUUCAAGUUAUUUUACUUUAUAACUGAUUCGUCUAUCACGUUUUGUCAUUCAAAGACUUUCACUGGAAUAUUUGUAGCAUAUAUAAUUUUCUCAUUAAUGCUCUGAAGAUGUAUUGUUUCUAUUAACACGUUUUUCAUUGAGCAUAUGUGUCUUUUCAUAAUAUCCAUUUUCAAUAAUGCUUGAAUAAUUAUCACUCAAUCAUGUAUCACCUCAAUUAUAUAAAAUUAUCAAUUCAACGAUAAACUUUGUAACAAGCUUUGCAGUAUCCUCUUCAUAAUAUGAAUAAUUUUUAUCUUAUAAACAAUUUUUGACUUUACUUUCAGAUACUCGAGAAGAUUAUUUAACUUAAAGUUUAUCUAUUAUUAAAGUAAUGAAGGUAAGUCUUACACCGUAUUUUGAUUGGCACAUCAAGAUUAUUUGAACUAAUUCACAAUUUAUUUAUUAUGUGACAGUCUUUCAAAAUGAAACACACACAUCGUCAAACACUUUAAAGGUAAUAAAACACACAAAAUAACAUAAAACAAUGAACGAGUUCCAUAUUGGUAUUCAACUUCACAUUUUCAAUUAUUUAUUCUCAAUUUGAAUAUUGGAUACUAAAAAUAUUAUAACUAUUUUCCAUACCAUCUAUUUUAAAAUACUCAAUUCAGAGCAGAUUAAACACUUGAUGAAAAUAACAAAAAGAUUCAUCUCAAGUAUAUAUACAUGAAAUUAACUACAAAAACAAUUCAUAGUCAUGUGUAAAACAUUUAAAAAUUCAAUAGUUUUUAAAAAAUUCAAAAAAUACAAAUAAGUUGAAUGCAAUUUAUAUACGCAUGAGAUUUCAUUGGGAAAAAGAAAUCUACUUCAAACAUUAUUUAAACAAGCACAAAAAAUAAGAAAAAAUAUCCUAAUUAGCAGUUCAAAAUUUAAUUAUAGGUCAAAAGAACAAUUUCAAACAAAAAUUUGUACAAAUAAUUCACUUCACAAACAUAUGUUACUCAUAUUGCCCAAUAUCAUUUUCAUUUGAAACAAACUCAACAUGAGAAAAAUGCAAAAAAUUAAUUGCGAUGUAAAAAUAUAUAUUAGAAGCUUAUAAAUUUAAUGCUAUUGAUCUUCAAAAUUGCUAAAAACAAACAUAUUUUGGCAAUGAACAAGCUAUCAUAUACAAAAAUUAGAAAGAGAAUAUAGAUUAUACAAAAGCUCAUUUUACUUGCAUUAACUUAGCACAAUAUAGUUGUAAGACGAUCAAAAAUGACAUAAAUAUCUUCUUAAAACCCGUUUAAAGUGAAAGCAAAUAAACAUGAAAAAGAAUUUUUGAAUAUUACUUAAAUAUCAUGUAUUUCUCUUUUUUCUUAUAUUUUUUUACUUAAAUAUCAUGUAUUCUCAAUUAUCUUUUACCUCUUUUAUGGAUUAAAUCUAUAAAUAACAAUCAUCUAUGAAAUUAUCAGAUGCUCAUUUUUAUUUUCUCCUUUUUUUUUAUUAGUCCAUAUCUUUUCCUUCUUUUUUUAAACUCUUUUCUUUCAUGUUUUUGUGGAUCAUAGAGAAAACAUAUAUAGAAAAGAUGAUGUGAUAAUAUGGUCAUAGAUUAAAAUCAAACAUAUGUUUUUCAGAAUUUAGUAUCAUAAUAGCCAAACAUAUAUCAAGACAAAGAAGGAAGUUCAAUAAUGUUGUAAAAGAUUUGUUAAAGAAAAAUGGUAAAAUUAAUUUGGUGCAAGUUAAUCAAAAUGAAGAAAAAAAAAAUUAAUAGCAGUAGAAGAUUCAUCUCGAUGGUCAAAUUAAUUUUAUAAAGAAUUUUUGAAAGAUUUACUUAUCUGUGUGUAUAGAUACACUUUUUGUUGCUUAUUUUAGUAUUUUCAGUUGGUUGUUUUUUCAAAUAUAAGACUAGGGGUGUACAAAAUCGAAUCGAAAAUCGAAUCAAAUCGCAAACUGAGUCAAACCGGAAAAAAACCCGACUAGUGGUUUGGUUUGACUUGGUUUGGUAUUGGAAAAAAAAACCCGACUAUAUUUGGAUUGGUUUGGUUUCAACUAAAAUAAACCAAACCAACCCGACAUUAUAUAUAUAAUUUNNNNNNNNNNNNNNNNNNNNNNNNNNNNNNNNNNNNNNNNNNNNNNNNNNNNNNNNNNNNNNNNNNNNNNNNNNNNNNNNNNNNNNNNNNNNNNNNNNNNNNNNNNNNNNNNNNNNNNNNNNNNNNNNNNNNNNNNNNNNNNNNNNNNNNNNNNNNNNNNNNNNNNNNNNNNNNNNNNNNNNNNNNNNNNNNNNNNNNNNNNNNNNNNNNNNNNNNNNNNNNNNNNNNNNNNNNNNNNNNNNNNNNNNNNNNNNNNNNNNNNNNNNNNNNNNNNNNNNNNNNNNNNNNNNNNNNNNNNNNNNNNNNNNNNNNNNNNNNNNNNNNNNNNNNNNNNNNNNNNNNNNNNNNNNNNNNNNNNNNNNNNNNNNNNNNNNNNNNNNNNNNNNUUAAACUUAAUUUUAGCAUGAUUUAGUACUUUUAAAUUAUGAUCUUUUUCAUUAUGACUUAUUAAUUUGCAAUAUUUGUUUUACGCGAUUUCAUUAUUAUUAUUUUUGUUGGAUAUUUUAGUGUCAUUAAUCAUAUCAUAUUUUGUGUUUUUUUCUUAAGAAACACUUAGAUAGUUGUAUUUUGGUAGGACUAAAGAAAUAUUUGAAGUACAAGUAAAUUAUAUGUUUGUACGAAUACUUUACCGGAAAAACUCGAAAAAACCCGAAAAUCCAAAAAAACCCAAGGUUGAAAAACCCGAGUUUUAUUGGUUUGAUUUGGUUUAUAAAUUCAAAAAUCCGACGCAAAUAGUUUGGUUUGAUAUUUGAAAAACUCGAACCAACCCGACCAUGUACACCCCUAUAAGACAUGCACCUCGUAAGAACAAGGCUUUAUUAUAAAAUUUUAACUUAAUAUUUUAUGCAUUUAUUGUUUGUAAAUAAAUUACCAUAAAUUUAUAAGGACUUGAAUGAAAGUUGGAUUACCAAUCCUGAAUGCCUCACAAAAUUGAGUUUCAAGUUUUUAUGUUUUUUAGGGGCUAAGAUGGUCAUUUAACUUUGAAUAGUUUACUUAGAAAGUCACUUAGCUUAAAGUAGUUCACUUAAAAAGUCAUUUAACUUUGUUUUAAACUCAAAAAUUACUUAACUAUUGCUAUUUCACUUAGAAAGUCACUCAAUUAUUGAUAUUUUACGUAGAAAGUCACCCAACUAAUUUAAAUAAUUUUUUAAUUAAUUUUUUUAUUGAAAUACAAUUUUUGUUUUAAACUUAUUUCUAAAAAAAAUAAAAUAAGUUGCUCAUUUUAAUUAUUUUAUUAAAUUUUGUUGAAAUGCAUUUUUUGUUAUGAACUGUUUUUAAAAAACAGUUACGAUUGCUACUGCGCGAUGGAUUACUUCUCGAUUCCAACUUUUUUUAAAAAAUAAUAAUCAUAUUUCAGCAUAUUUAGUUUCAGUUAGACAAUUGCUAAAACGGAAAAGGGAAUUCUUUUUGACAUUUGCUACUGUACAUUUUUUCAAAAAAAAUAUAAUUAAAUAAUUGGAGGGAUCGAUAAAAUAAUUAAAAUAUAUUAUUUUUUUUGAAACAUAGUUUAAAUAAAAAUUAGAUUUCAACAAAAUUUAAUUAAAAAAAAUAUUCAAAUUGAUUGGGUGACUUUCUAAGUGAAAUAUUAAUAGUUGAGUGACUUUUUAAGUGAACUAUUCAAAGUUGAGUGACCAUUUGAGAUAUUAUCUCCCUGAUAAUUGGAAUUGGUGUAAUUACUAGGGUAGUAAUUACACAUCUUAGUAAUUACACUGGCAUGUUUGUUUGACACAAUGUAAUUAUACAUGUGCUAUUUGGAUGCACAAUUGUCAUCACAAGAUUAUAUUAAAUUUUAAAAAUAAAAGUUAAUUAUUUAAAAUUUAUAUUAGACAAAUAAACAACUUUAUAAAUGAUAUUAACUGAAAUAUUUAAGAUAUAUAUUGUCUUUUUAAAAUAUAUUACUAAUAAACAUAUGUUCUUAACUAAUAUUAUGAAGAAAAAAAAUUGAUUUGUAUUUUUCAAAUUAGUAUAUUUCAAUUGAACUAAUCAUAAAAACUAAAAGUACAAGAUUUCUAUGAACAUCAUGAAAUGCAUGUUUGACAAAAAGAUUAAUAUUAUAAAUAAAAUGUCAUAAACUAUUAAAAACAUUUGUCAAAAAGAUAAUCUAUAAAGUCUGACUAAAAAAUUAAUGACUUGCAAUGUGAAGUCUCAAGUCAAUACUACUAUACUAAAAUAAGUGAAACUGAAAAUAUAACAUUAGUUCUAAAUUCCAAACAAAAUAGUCUUAUGUCAAAUUUCAACAUAACAUACAUAAAUAUGAUUUAAAAGAAAAGGAAAACCUAAGUCUACAACCUUACUCAACAAUGAAUUAUAUUUUAAUUGAAAAAUUAGAAUACUAUCAAAAUUAUGCCCAUAAAAAAUAAGUAUGACAUAAAAAAUAGAUAAUACGAAAAAUUGCAUGGAAUCACAUGAAGUAAAGGUUGAGAAUGAGAAGUAAAUGAAAUAUAAAAAAAGAAAAAAGAAACUUUUAGAAUUUUUUAGAAUAAUAAAAAUAAAAAAAGAAUUUAAAAUAAUAGAAAUAAAAAAUAAAUAAAAAACAAACAAGUAAAAAUAGAAAUAAAAAGAAGAAAUUGAAAAAUUAUGAACUUGUAAUUACAUCAUGUAAUUACCAGCAAUUCACAGCCCCUCCCUGGAAAUUGGAGAGUGCAAUUACACCCAAUCACCUGUUAACCAAGUAAUUACAUGUCCAACCAAUCAAGCUAGACAAUGUAAUUACACUAAAUCCAAUAACCAAGGUGGCUUUCCAAACAGACCCGUAGCGUUUUCUUGAAAUCUAUGUAAUAUAAGCAUAAAUAAAGUGAUACAACACCUUACUAUGGAUUCUAUUUAUCUUUUUUCUAUUAAUUUUUUUUAUCUCCAUUUUUUUUCAAUUAUUUUAUAACUCACAACUUUUCAACUUCAUAUAUAUAAAUUCUACUUUAAUUAGUAUUAAUAUGCUAUUCUUUUAAUUACUACUAUCUUUCAAGCCUUUUAUGUUCAUAACCCAAAUGAUUUUUUUCAAUCUUUUCUAGCAUUUCAUUCACUGUGUUUAGUAAUGUAAAUUAAAAGGACAACUUAUUCAAUUUGUGGAGACCAAUUAUAUUCGAAGCAGUAUUCUAAUAUGCAUAAGUUGGUGAAUAUGAAGAAAGAAAGGACGAUUAUUCAAAAUUUUAAAGUACAAAGUCUUUAAUUAUAAUAAAUUUCAUUAAAUAUUUGAUUUGUAUGUUAUAAAAAUGAAAAGCUGCAAUUUAUAAAGGUUAAAUAUCUCUCUCUCUAUAUAUUCUCUUAUUAUAUAAGUGGGAGUUGAAGCUACCCAUUAACUUGACAUAUGGAAUUACUAGAUCCCACACACACACACAUAUAUAUAUAUAUAUUUAUUUUUUAUUUUUUUAUUUUUUGUUCUACUAUAUAAUAAAAGGAAGUUUAGGCCCAAGUAUAAUAUAUAAUAUUUAAGAUUGGACUUUUCCAUUUGUGACAUAUAUAUAUAUAUAUAUAUAUUAUAAAUCACAAUAAUUAAUAACUUAAAACAUUUUAUUUUUUAAAAUGAAAAUUUGGAUUACUCUCCAAAUUUUAUUUGUGUCACAUAAAUUGACACAACAAAAAUAGCAUAUAUUGGGUCCAUUUUAAUUUAUUUGUCUUUUUUUUUACUGUUUUUUAUAUUUAAAAAUUGCGUAAAAAUACUAUAAAUCAUGAUAAUUGACAACAUAAAAUAUGUUUUCAAAAAAAUACAAAAAANNNNNNNNNNNNNNNNNNNNNNNNNNNNNNNNNNNNNNNNNNNNNNNNNNNNNNNNNNNNNNNNNNNNNNNNNNNNNNNNNNNNNNNNNNNNNNNNNNNNNNNNNNNNNNNNNNNNNNNNNNNNNNNNNNNNNNNNNNNNNNNNNNNNNNNNNNNNNNNNNNNNNNNNNNNNNNNNNNNNNNNNNNNNNNNNNNNNNNNNNNNNNNNNNNNNNNNNNNNNNNNNNNNNNNNNNNNNNNNNNNNNNNNNNNNNNNNNNNNNNNNNNNNNNNNNNNNNNNNNNNNNNNNNNNNNNNNNNNNNNNNNNNNNNNNNNNNNNNNNNNNNNNNNNNNNNNNNNNNNNNNNNNNNNNNNNNNNNNNNNNNNNNNNNNNNNNNNNNNNNNNNNNNNNNNNNNNNNNNNNNNNNNNNNNNNNNNNNNNNNNNNNNNNNNNNNNNNAUAUUAAGUAUUUAAAAAUUACGUACAACCAUAUUGCUUUCUGUAGGCUUCAAAUUAUCGUGGUCAUUUUUUAGGCUGAUACAAGUUUUGUACAUUUUCUAUUUAAUUUUUAAAAUUUUUUAUAAAUCACAAUAAUUAAUAAUUUAAAAUAUUUAAAAUUAUAUAUUAAAAAUUGAGUUGGUUUCGAGAAUUUUAUUUAUAUUAUAUAAAAUGGGACAAAGGAAGCAACAUAUAUCAUUUACAAAUGACUUAAAAAACAUUAAAAAUUACAAUAAUUACCAAUUUAAAAUAUUUAAAAGCUAUAUAAUAAAAUAGGUUNNNNNNNNNNNNNNNNNNNNNNNNNNNNNNNNNNNNNNNNNNNNNNNNNNNNNNNNNNNNNNNNNNNNNNNNNNNNNNNNNNNNNNNNNNNNNNNNNNNNNNNNNNNNNNNNNNNNNNNNNNNNNNNNNNNNNNNNNNNNNNNNNNNNNNNNNNNNNNNNNNNNNNNNNNNNNNNNNNNNNNNNNNNNNNNNNNNNNNNNNNNNNNNNNNNNNNNNNNNNNNNNNNNNNNNNNNNNNNNNNNNNNNNNNNNNNNNNNNNNNNNNNNNNNNNNNNNNNNNNNNNNNNNNNNNNNNNNNNNNNNNNNNNNNNNNNNNNNNNNNNNNNNNNNNNNNNNNNNNNNNNNNNNNNNNNNNNNNNNNNNNAUGACUCUCCAAAUUUUAUUUGUGUCACAUAAAUUGAGACAACAAAAAUAACAUAUAUUGGGUCCAUUUUUCUUAUUUUUUUUAGUGUUUUUUAUAUUUAAAAAUUGUGUAAAAAUCCUAUAAAUCAUUGAUAAUUGACAACAUAAAAUAUGUUUUCAAAAAAAUACAAAAAAAUCCACUGAUCCUUGCAGUGAAUCUAUCGUAAAAAUACUAUAAAUCAUGAUAAUUGACAACAUAAAAUAUUUCAAAAAUGUUAUAUGUGGGUAAUCUUAUUAUGCCUUAAAUAGCGUCAAAGAAAGUACAGGUUUGUGAUAAAAAAAACUUAUUUUUUUAUCCACGCAAACAAUCACUUUAAAAAUUUCGUUAUUAACCCCAAAACAUACCAUUUAUAUUAUUGGGCCCGUGCAUAGUACGGGCAACAUUAUCUAGUAUAUAUAUAAAGGAGGAACAUAGAUAAGGUGAUGUGGCACCUUUCUAUGGCCUCUAUUCAUAUAUAUCUUUUUUUCUCUUUUUGGGAAUUUUUAAUGUCUAAAUAUUUUAAUUAAUGUUUUAUUCUUUAUGUAUAAUCACUUGUAAUUAAUUUAUUGGUAAAAACAAUCAACCCUCCCUCUCCCCCCACGUCUAAGAUCAUGAUCAAUUCUUCAACUUUUCAUCUUCUCUUUUAAUUAUUAUUUAUACUCUUUUAUGACAUUAAAUGAUUUUUUUUUCUCAAAAGCAAUUGUGGAGAUGAAAUCAUUAUCUCCUUUCAUAGUUACUAUAAAUCUCUAACUAUUUAUGUCAUGGAGAAAUAUUUUUUGUUCACCAAUUGCUUCCCUUAUGAUGGGACUGCUUAGGCAGUUUUCAGGUACCAUUUUAUUUUAUUUAUUUUUGUUUACAAAUAUUAAUAUUAUGUAAGAUUUUAAUAAUGAUAUUUUGUAUCAUACUUUCAUCAUUAUUAUUUUAGAUGACUAUUUUUUGUAUCACAAUUUCAUCAUUAUCAUUUAGAUGACUUAUUUUUCAAUUGGUUUGCUAUUUUAUAGAUUCUUGAAUUUAUUUGGAAUAAAAUAUUAUAUUUGUAUAAUUGUGUUUUGUCAUUUUAUCAUGUUUUCUUAUUGUAUUGCUUCAUUCUUGUGUUUAUUUUUAUCCUAAUAUUGUUGUUUUAUUUAAAUUUUGAUUUCUCAAUUGAUGAAUUAAAUUUCAAUCAUCUCAGGCUAUUUUCACAUUAAUGUAUAGAAUAUCAUAUUUUCUAAUUUAUAUUAUAUUAUGUGGUGGAUUAUCACAAUACGCAUUAUUCUACUUCUUAUAUUAAUGUGGAUUUAUGGGUGAGUACAAAAAAUUGAUGAUUAUUUAUAGAGUAAUAACCCAUUUUUCCUAUUGACAUUUUAGUAGCUUUAGAUAAUUAUAAAGGUCAUGCACAAUUUUUCUUGAUAUUUUGUUUGUUUACAACUUAUUCUUACUUCUCUUUUAAUAUCAUUCUUUAUUUAGAUUUCAAUUUCUCAAUUCAUAAGCUAAUUGAAAUUCUUCUUGAUUUUUUUUUUAAAUUAACCUACAUUCAAACAUUUUACCUUAUCUAAUUUUAGAUCAUUUUGUGGGAUUUGUCAAAAUAUGUGCUAUUGAACUUUCCUAUUAAUGUGAAAUGAUAAGACAUAAGUUAAAAAAAAUCAUCCUCUAAUAACUCAUUUUUAUUAUUGAUAAUUUAUAUAUAUGGUAAAGUUAGAUAUAGAAUAGGUAAGGUGAGACAUCACUUGGGUCAUGAUUCAUAAUUUGAGUUUGGAGCCAAAAGGGAAAAAAAAAUUGCCAAAAAUUUCAAAAGGGUACAUCAAUUAUUUUUUAACCAAAAGGGCAAAAUCUCUCUUGACGGAGCGAUUUCCUUCUGACAAAAUUGACGCCGUUACUUCGUUAAAAAACAUAAAAAUCGCUGUUCCAGCAGCGAUUUUGUCAAAUUUUUUAUUUUUUAACAUUCCUGCCCCUGUAACGUUUUUCUAAAAAAACUUUUUAAAAUUGAAAUCGCUGCUAUAGUAGCAAUUUUCUUUAAAAAAUUAUUUUUUUAAAAUCGCUUGCAAGGCAGCGAUUUCAUUCAAUUUUUGCAUUUUAAAUAUAUUGCUGCCUUGAAAUGUUUUGUACUGCCAUUUGCUUAAAUGAUUAAUAGUGAUUGUACAUGCUUGGUUUUAGCUUAAUUUUUUAAAUAUUUUUCUAUUGAUUUUGAAAUUUAAUGAAAUCGCUGCCCGGCAAGUGAUUUUUUAAUAUAAAAAAAAUCAACUUUUUAAAGAAAAUCGCUACUAUAGCAGCUAUUUCAAUUACAUUUUUUUUUGACAAAAUCGCUGCCACAGCAGCGAUUUUAAAGAAUUAAGAUUUUUUUUUGGACGAAAUCGUUGUUGGGGCAGCGAUUUUAUGUGGAGUAACGAAGUCAAUUUUGUUAGAAGGAAAUCGCUCCGUCAGGAGCGAUUUUGCCCUUUUGGUUAAACAAAUAAUUGAUGUGCCCUUUUGAAAUUUUUGACAAUUUUUUUGCCCUUUUGGCUCCGGACUCUUCAUAAUUUCAUAUUCAUCUAUUUUUUCAAUUCUUUUCCUUUUCUUAUUUAAAUCUCUAGAAUUUUUUUAAUCUUUAACAUAGUUUUUAAAAAAAAAAUUAUGUUACAAAUUAUUCCUUACAAGUUUUAAAUAACACUAAAGUUUAUAUCCAUAAUGACUUGAGCUUUUUUCGGUUUAGUUUUUUUAUUUCUCUUUUAUCUUAUUUAUUUAUUUUAUCCUUUUUAGGUGCUUAUACGACCUUACAAAUUAACCAUAUAACAAGAAAAACUAGGUUUAUUUUAAAAAAGAUGGAAGAAGUCUUAACAGUUUCUUCUACAACUAGCUGUUAUUAAAUUGAAAUUUAUCCUUUCUUAAUUCUGAAUUAAUAUUAUGUCCUAAUGAUUCUUGAAUAUGCUUUAUUUUUAGAGCAACUUUCACAUAUAGCAAACAUAAAAAUCAUAUUUGUAUGCUAUAGCUAUAGUUUGCAUAAUUGCACUCCAUAGCAAACUUUAUGUUUGCUAUGACUAUUAAUAUGUAUAUUUCGCUAUACAUAUACAAAAGAAAGCAAUUGUAUAAUCUGUUUCGGUAUACAUAUACAAAAGAAUCAAUUGUAUAAUCUGUUUCGGUAUACAUAUACAAAAGAAUCAAUUGUAUAAUCUGUUUCGGUAUACAUAUACAAAAGAAUCAAUUGUAUAAUAAGAAAGCAGUUGUAUAAUCUGUUUCGGUAUACAUAUACAAAAGAAUCAAUUGAAUAAUAUGUAUUUGUAUAAAGCGAGAAAGAGAGAAAGACAAAACAAAACUGGGCAGGAGAAAAUCGUAUUUGUAUAAUCAUAAGUGUAUAGGACGAAAAUAUAUGCAUUUGUAUUUGUAUAUACAAUUUUCUCUCGCUUUAUACAAGCACAAACACAAUGUAUACAUUUGUGUUUGUAUAAAGUGAGAGAGGCGAGUGAGAGUGGCGAGCGAGAUUUGGGAGAGGGGAACGAAAAUAUAUGUAUAUAUACAAUUUUCUCUCGCUUUAUACAAAUAGAAACACAUUUUAUACAUUUGUGUUUGUAUAAAAACGAGAGAGGCAAGGGAGACUGCCCAACGAGAAUGAGAGUGGCGAGAGAGAUUCACCAGGGAGAGAGGCAAAAUAGCAACAGUUUGCUAUGGGGUACAAUUAAAUCAAACUAUGGUUAUAACAUUUAAUUUGAAUUAAUAGUUUGCUAUUAUAUACAAUUUUUCCUUAUUUUUACUACUUUCAUUCUUUAACAGAAAUAUUUAUAUAUUAUAAUGAUUCAUGAUAUUAUAAAUUAGGCAUGCAAAAGUAACUAAAUUAAUUAAUCAAAUAUUGUCAUAUGGUUUACAAAUUGGGAAGAGUAGUUCACACUACUAAUCAUUUAUAUAUAUUAUUCUUCAUAUUAUUGUUUUUCUUUUGUUCAAUGGUGUGGUUUCUAAAAAUGUGUCAAUAUGAUAAUAAAACUUAAAAUCAUUUGAAUAUAAUGCUCCAGAGAGUCAUUUAGAAGAAAUUUGGAAAGAGGAGAAUGACUAUAUAGUUUUUUCACAUUUAUAAUGGUUUGUCACUAAUAUUGACUUUGUUUUCUAUACACAUGCUUAUGUUGUUGAUUAAUUGUAGUUUGAUGACUUUUCUUCAUAAUAUAUGAUAGAAAAACAUUGUAAAAAAAUAUCUUAUAUAUAGGAUCUUAAUAUUUUUCUUUUAUUUAAGACAAUUUUCCAAAGGCAGAGGUUCCGAGGCUAUUAAUCGUGUAUUUUUUAAUUUAAAUUUUAGUAUUUUUCUUCAACAAGAUCAUUAACAAUUGCAUUUGCAUCAGAAAAUGACAUAUUAUAAGCACUUAUUUUAUUUAUCACUUAAAAGUGUAUAUUUUAAUUAAAUUCUUACCUGAUAACUAAGUGAUUUUUAUACUUAUUACUAUAUCAUAACUCUAGGAAAGAACACAACUAAAUGGAUAAAAUCAUAUUAUCGUUCAAUUAUUACUACUUAAAUAUAAAAGAAUAGGAAUGGUGUAUUUAAAUUGUGCUAAUCUAAGGAAUUGUUUCCUUUUUCGAUGAAGCUAAUAUCUCACGAAGAAAUUUAAAAUAUAGUUAAAGUGAGUUAUAAUUUAAUAUUUAAUUUAUUUGAAUGUGAAUAUAGAAAUUAAAAAACUAUUAAAAAAAUCAUGAAUCUAAUAUUAUGUCGCACCGCACGAAGCGCGGCCAUAUUUACUAGUAUGUUAUAACUUGUGAUUGUUUGAUUGUCACGCGUUGUAUCCAUGUGAAUCCUCACAACUCAAAUGAUAAAAAUUUCAUUAGAGAAGGAAAGAAGAUAGUCAUUGCAACAGAUUCUCAAAUAUGUUGCUUUAUGAUAAUUAAUUUAAAGAUGAUCAUAUAUCAUAGAGAAAAUACAUUAAAAAAAUCCCUAAACUUGACACGAUAACUUAUACUUUAGUACUUAAAUUAUCCGGGCGUAUAAAUAUCCCCUUAACAUCUUUGAAGUGAAUUUAAUCCCACCCUAACAGUACAAUACCAGUCUCACACUGGGAAGUGCCCUACACACACGCCUCAUCAGGGCCACAUCAACGCCACAUCAGAUCCACAUAAGAAAUAAUAUUUAAAAUAUAAAAAAAAGGAAAAUCAAAUUUAAUUUGGAAUUAUACUAAAUAUAAUUUUUUCUUGUUUUUUUCCUUUUUAAUUAUUCUUAGUUUUUUUUUAUUAAUUAUAGUUUCAUAAAUUAAUCUCUAAUUAAUUAUUAAAAUCCCCUAAAUAACUGAAUUUUCCCCAUUGUUGUCCUCAAGUUCACCACCUUCUCAUUUUCAAAGAGAAAUCCGAACAACCUUUGCAACUCUAAGCUAUAACAAUAAAAAAAAUUCAACUUUUCUUAUUACAUGAACUAACAACAAAGUCUAUAAAAAAAAUUCUUCAAUUCCAAUAUCAGCUACUCCUCAACCCCCUCUUUUGAAGAUCGAAUAUUAGUUUUUUUGUAAGUUGGGUGAAGAUUUUAUGAUCUAUUUUUUGUUGACUUCUUUAACGGAUGAUUUGACACUUUCUUGAUGUCGAAAAUAAGUUGCCGAAAAUCGUGUCGAAGAACUGAACAUCAAGUUUCUUGUCAAAGAAGAACACAAAAACAAAGAAAAGAUUAAAAAAGAGAAAUGAAAAGAAAAAUAUUGACAUUUGGAAAAAAUCCUCUGUUGUAACUUGGUGUGAUGGACUGAAAAAGAAGAAAGAAAGAGGAAGGUAGAAAAAAGUAGGAAAAAAAUAGGAUAAAAGAAAGAGAAAUUUUGAAUUAAAAAGAAAAUAUUUUUUAGAAAUAGUAAAAUAUGGAGUAAUUAAUUAAUUUUGUCAUCAUAUGAGAAGAUGACACGUGCAUAGUUUGAAACAACUUUUUGUUUUUUUUCCAUCUUCACACGCCUAUAGAAAAUUGAUGAUACAAAUCUUGCCACAUCAUAUUUUAGGGGGUAAUUUAAUUCAACUGGAACUACAUUAGGGGGUAAAAAAACGUCCGUAAAGUUGCAUUGCUAAACUAAGUUAUGCAGACAAGUUUGGGGGGAAUUUUAUGUACUUUCCCUAUAUCAUAUAAUUAACAACUUUAAAAUUGAAAAUGAAAAAUACUUACCAUCCAAGUAACUCUCUCUCGUCACUCUGUUACAUUUUAGAGUGACAUUUUAGUUAUAGAGUGCUUUUCCAAAAGUAUCCUAAUCCAACUUGGCCAUAGUGUCUGCAAAGGGCAUUCUUCUUUUUCAAGUACAGCACAAAUGAGCUUAAGCCUAAUUUUAUCCUUUUUGUACCUAACAACACAAGAAUAAGAAAAUUAAUGUAGCAAGAAUUAGAAAUUUAAUUCUCACCACCUUCCUAAUUGGCUAGCUAUUAACAUUUUCUCAAAUCUUCUUUCAAAAGGGACUUCAUACUUUCUUAGCACUCGUUCUUUUUUCCUUAUAUUUAUGUUAAUAAUUACGUUGUACCUCAAUAAAUUCGCUCAACACCUACUACCUCACACUAAAAUAAAUAUGGGUCAUAUAAAAAAAAAUAUCACCUAACAAUAAUCUUUAUUUCUACGGACAUUUGAACCAUUUUUUCACUUCAUUGACCAUUAAGCACACAAUUGGGUGCAAGACAUUCUUCAUUAUCUUGCAUUGAUAGUCUUUUCUUUGAAAAAAUAAUAUCCUCUUGGAGCCUAUGUCAAAGUUUCACAUAGUUUCGAACUCUCUUUUUAUGACUAACUAUUAACAAAUCGUAGCAGUAAGGGCCUCCUAACAUGUGAUGGAGUGUUACGUAUUCUUUCAUCCUUCAUCUUCAACCAAAAAUCUCAAAUUCGAGUCUCCCUUGUUACCCGACAGCAGGUGGAAAACAAAAAAAGGAAUAACGAAAAAUAACAGGUCAAAUAUCACUCAAUUAAAAUCAAUCCAUUUCAACAGUUCAGCUUCAGCAAGUCUGUCCAGUCGUUAACUUGUAUUAACAUGUGACAACCAAAAAUAUAUAUAAAAAUUUAUCAGUACUCACACCAAACUAGCUAAUAUGUAACAUGUUAUUUUCAUAGAAUCCUUCAUCAGUAACCAUGACCUAUUGACGAAUUCAUCAAAACAUGCAGUAACUUUGAAAAAUAUGACAAGCACCAUUAAUAUUUUUUUAAGAGUCCAAGCAACAUAGACGGUCGAAUAAUGGGAAGGAAGACCCCAACCAAAGCACAGAUGAUGGCCGACAGUUUCAUGCAGAUGUUGAAGUAGAAUAUAAGCUCUCCACAAGACAACACUAUUAUAUUGUAUAGAAAAAUGAUUUUUUCAUUUUGCAUUGAAGUUAGUGCAGUGUGAGGGCAUGAGGGUUGGAGUAGAGUUGGAGAAGGGGACCACUCAACCUUUUACUUGAACCUUCACCUUCACCUUCACCAAUCAAAUGAAGCACAAACCCAAUGGAAUACUAUUCUCAACAUUAGCCACAAAAUUCUUCUGGGCAACCUGUUAUCUUAUUAUUUUUUUUAAAAAUAUCUGUUACAAAUGAGAAAUGCCAUUAUUAAACAGGACAUAAGAAAUCAAAUGAAUACCACCACUAACUGCAGCUUUUUACUCCUCCCAGAGCCUGAAUAUUUGCUCCCGGGCCCUAGUGACUCAAACUCACAACUGGUUAGAGGUGGUAGGUCAAAGGUGGAGAGUGCCCUCACAUUUCUUCCUCAAAAGGCAAUAUGACAGGGCAAUGAAUCAUUCAUAAGCAAAUAGGUUCAAAACUCAGCAGAGAAAAAAAAACACUAGAUGAUUCUUCCCAUUACCUGAUACCUGUUGUUGAUAGGACAUGGUAGGUAUUACGUGGACUUAAUUGAGGUGCACGAAAGCUAGCCUGAACACCACGGUCAUAAAAAUAAAUUAAUUAAAAGAACACCAACUAGGCUUGGCUUCUUGUGGGAAGAGGAGGGAUCAAUAAUGCAUCAUCAUAUUAUAAUAGAGAGAUGCAAAUGAAUAAAAAAAAUGAAGGCAUGAAGAUUGCAUGUAAAAAGGGGCAGGGGACCACCCUACAGACAGAAUCUAUUGGUACUUCCUAGACAAAUAAUGCCAGACACAACCUUAUAAUACACUAUAUAUAAAAAUUAUAAUGAUGGAAAAUUAUCUCAAAACUAAAGCUAAUUUCCUAAAUCAGGAUUUAAACCACGAGGUCCCCCCCUCCAUAAUUGGCAAAAUCAAUUGGUACCAGUCAUAUUGUAUAUAGCAUGACCUAGCCAUUUACAAAUAAAUUAAUAUAGUACUAAGUGUUGAAGGAAAGGGACUAAAGCAUUUCAUUAAUGCAAAAAAUAUAACAUAAAAAUUGUACUUGCCACAAGCUACUUGCCAUAUAAAAAAUUGAACCAAUGUAUAUCAAUGAGGUCAUCCUCAUUGCCCUAGAAAAAGGGAGAAAACAUGGUGCUCAUCACGUUUUGCUGUCUUCACAGCCAUGCAAAUAUAUUUCAAAAAUUUAAAGCCAAGAAACACAUCUACUUCAAACUUCAACUGAUAUAUGUGUUGCAAAAGAAAGAAAUAUAUCAAUUCGUAAAUACUAAUUCCCCAAAACAGAUUUCAAGUAUGAAGUUACAGUUCGCAAGAGCCAUGUAAAACAUCUCUCGAAAAAGUCUUAAUUUGUGCCAUAGGUAUGUGUGACAUCAAGCAUAUCUCUGUAGAGGAAAAAGGAGAUUCCUAUAGCAAGUAAGUAGGUGGAUCUGUGUUGCAUUCCUCAUCAGUUUAGACAGAACAUGUAAAACAUAUUGCAAGGAGCGGAUAUAAUGUUACAGCAAACAAAUGAUUAUAGAUGUUCGGAAUAACUGUAUAAGACAUGAAACUAUAGCCAUAUGAAGAUUCUAACAAUUGGGAUUAACCGAUGGUGGUAGAGACCAGGACGAACAGACAACUGCCUAGUGAUCGAAAUGGCUACACAGAACUCUUGGAAUCAUAUGACGAAGUAGAUUUCUAAAGCAUAUACAUGUACUACAAACAAGAUGCUAGAGAAAACUAUUGACUGAUUCAAACAGAAGUGAUUGAGUGCUUAAAAUUGUCCAGACAACUGAAAGAUCUUAUCCUGGAAAUCACCACAAUACGUUAAACAGAAUUAUUAUUGAAAAUUAGGUUUUGAAAAUGAAGAGAAUGGGAAAAAGGAGCUCCCUUCAGUCCAAGCAAGGAAAGAGAGGGAUAGAAAACUAUCUCCCGCAUCAUUCACUCAAUCACAGUAGCACAAAACCUAUCCUUUCUACUGAGCGGUUGGAUGAAUGAGUCGGCAGCUAAUUCAACCCCAUUUCUCCUCCUUGAGUGGGCUGAAGGAAGCUCUCUUGGACCAUUCCUCAAUUCACAAAACUUUUUACAAUUAACUUCUUCAACUGAACAGCCUUAGUAAAUCAUCAAAUCAUACAUUUUUGAUAAGAAUAUAUGAGAUUCCGAGGAAUAAAUAUACUAACCUCAAUCUACCAAUAUUACCUUUCCACAGCUUACAUUCAACUCCCCCAAAAAAAUUAGGAUAUGUAACCAGUCAGUAAUAGUUCACAACAGUUCACCAUUAUAUCUCAGAAUCAAAUUGCAGAGAGUAAAGGCAGCCUAAAAUGAAAUACGAAUACAAUAGACACAACCAAAAUCAUAGCUCAAGGGUACAUCUAUUUUAAUUUUUUGUGAAAGAAAAAGCCCCUUGUCCCCUCAUCUCUUUAAGAAAAAAAAAAACUUUUAUGGUCACUGUUGAUAGCAUACCAAAGUCUCAUCUGAAACCUGAGAAAGAUAGAUACUUUUUAUUUGACAAACAAAAAUUAAUCAACAGCAAAAUCCAUGGCAAACUUUCACAUAUAGAAAAAGUUCACUAUACAAACACAAUCUGUUAACUAAGCAGAGUCAACUCUUACCACAAACCCUAUAAUCAAUCAAAAAACACAAAGAUCUCUAAUCUACCAUUCUAAUGAGUCUAUAUACAAGGAACUGUUCAGUGAUGAAAAUCGAAGAAAUACUUAUCUGUUAAGUGAUGAAAAUCGGCCGAAUAGACACAGUAUAUGUGAAACCCUAACUCUUCAAUACUAUUCGGUACGGGGAAAACGCUUUGGCAGAGCAAUAAAUAGAGAGAAGAAACAUGGUUUUGGAUGAAUGAAAAAACAAAGAAAUUCAGAAGGAAAGGGAAAUGAGAUAAGGAAAUUUAAGAAAUUGAAAGGAAUAUAAAGGGGUAAGUGAUGGUUGCACUAAAUACGGAGAGUGUAUAAAUACACAAAGAUGAAAAUGAAAAUGAAAAGUCGCUUUCGCCAUGAGAGUGAGGUAUGAGAAAGCGACAUUGUCAACAAAAUCUUUCACAUUUACAACAACAUUAGAAAAUAUAUAACACCAAAAAAAAAAGAAAAAGACUAGUAAUCUUUAUUAGGAAUUAGUAUUAUUAUUAUCAGAAAGAGAGAGAACAUAAUGAAAAAAGUGAAAAAAAGAUGGAAGAUGUGGGGGAUCAUUUCAUCUGCAAAAUCAUACCUUCUGGAGCGCAUUAACAAGUGAGUGAGGAAGAAAGGAGGUGGAGGACAGUGAAAUACACAUUGUAGAUCAACGGUGGUUGAAUUAAAAUGUCUGGGACUGUUCAACUUUUGACCAUUUCUGCAGUCGAUUUAUGACUCUUUUUACCCCUUUUUCAGCUUCACCUAACUGUUGUAAUAAUUUGUAACAAAGUUGAGGCUGCCUCAGGUAGUUGAGCACCUUUCUGAUUCAUCACUAAAUUAGUUUGAGUUAAAAGAAAAUUUUCUUCCUUCGACUUUAAUUAUAUAUAUAUAUAUAUAUAUAUAUCGGAUUUUCAACUACACACAUAUAACUCUAAGGGGUCGUUUGGUUGGAAACAAGUUAUCCCACCAUGUAUAUGGGAUAACUUAUCCCAUCACUAUGAUAUAAAUGGUGGGAUAAGUUAUCCCAAACAUGACAACCAAACAACAUAAAAUAUUUUUAUCUCAUUACUAUUUCCUUAUCCAUCACUAUUAUUUUUAAUCCCUCACACCAAACGAGCCCUAAGCGGUUCAAUCACUCCUUGAACCUCUUUAAAAGUGAAAUAUAUAUCUUUAAAAACUCACACGCAAAUUUGUAUUAGGUAAUAAUAUGCAUGCAUCUGCCACGUAUAUAUAUAUUACUUUAAAAACAUCAACUCCUAACUUAAAUGUCAAAUCCGCCGUAGUCUCAAAUAAAGUGCAAGUAGGGACAUUACUAUAUGAAUGAGACUUCAUCCUUAUUACAUUACAAGCGAUACCUCAAUUUACUAAAAUGCUCCUCUAGUCCCAAGCUUGGUAAAUAAGGUCGUGGUAAAUUCUUUUCUUCCGGCCUUGUUGUGAUAGGCAGUGGUGGAUCCAGGAUUUAAAGAACUGUAGGCAACCAGUGGCGGAUCCAGGAUUUAAAGGUUGUGGGUGCUCACUUCCUUUAACAUAAAACUGUUAGCAAUCACAUAGUGUAAACGUAUACUAACUCAAACUCUUUAAUAAAAAAAUGUAAACGUAUACUAACUCAAACUCUUCAAUAAAAAAAGUAAAAAAAAUAAAACAACGAUUAAUAUUAUCAUCAUCAAAAACAACCUCUAAUUAUAAGUCACAAUGACCUUCUAGUAAUAUUAUCAUUUUUUGAUAAGGAAACCUUCUAGUAAUAUUAUCAUUACAAAAAGAGACUUCUAGUCUUAAAGCCAUAAUUGUGCUCGACGACUUUUCAUAUGUUGAAAACGAUAAUAAUAGCAUCAUUGCUUACAUUUGCGAAUAUCUUACGCUCUACAUAGCAAACUAAACAACCAUACAAAAAUUCAUCACCAAUACUAUUACAAAGUUCAUUUUUAAUGUACUUCAUGGAUGAGAACGCUCGUUCCACGAAAGCAGUAGCAAUGGAAAGAAUGAGAGUCAACUUGAUAAGCAAAUAAACAAGUGGUCAAGUUUGAUGCAUAUCUGACUUGACCAAUACUUUAGCAUAGGAAAAGUUAAAAGUAAAAAAGAAAGAAAAAGUUAGUCAGCCUAAACAAAUUAAGAAUAGGAAAAGUCAAAACAAGUAAAACAUUCGGAGUUGAAGCUCAGUGGCGGAUCCAGGAUUUAAAGGUUGUGGAUGCUCAUUUCCUUUAACAUAAACCUGUUAGCAAUCACAUAGUGUAAACAUUUACUAACUCAAACUCUUUAAUAAAAAAAGUAAACGUAUACUAACUCAAACUCUUAAAUAAAAAAAAAGUAGAAAAAAUAAAAUAACGGUUAAUAUUAUCUUCAUCAAAAACAACCUCUAAUUAUAAGUCACAAUGACCUACUAGUAAUAUUACCAUUACAAAAAGAGACUUCUAGUCUUAAAGUCAUAAUUGUGCUCGACGACUUUUCAUAUGUUGAAAACGAUAAAUAAUAGCAUCAUUGCCUACAUUUGCAAAUAUCUUACGCUCUACAUAGCAAACUAGACAACCAUUCAAAAAUUCAUCACCAAUACUAUUACGAAGUUCAUUUUUAUUGUACUUCAUGGAUGAGAAAGCUCGUUCCACAAAAGCAGUAGCAACGAGAAAAAUGAGAGUCAACUUGAUAAGUGAUGCUUAUCGUGAUCAACGACAGGUCUUACAGUUCGAGCAUCUACGAUCGUCGAUAAUAUAGUAACCCAACCAAGGGUUGGGGUCGUGUCCUAAGGGAGUGGUAGUGAAAAUAGUAGUUAGGAUAGAAUUUUGUUCUAGUUAGCUGUAGUUUGAGAAAUUUUCGAAUAAAAACAAAGUAAAUUCAAGUGGGUGACACAAAAGUGUCAAAUAUCAAAGGGGGUUUUGUCACAAGUAGCUAAAACAAUAAAAAUCAAGAGAAAAUUCAAGGAUGGGGAAAAGUUCUUGGGGUGUGACCGCAAUAUAUAUCGAUAUAAAUUGUUGGGUACAUUCUUUCGAUAGGAAAUUUGCAAGAUAAUAGUGACUAGGCUAAGCUUUAGAUGGAAAUAAGUUCCCUCUCGAGCAACUUACCUCGUUUCAAAUGGGUUCCUCUCGGAUACUCAUUUGCCGCAUGAAGGCCAGCCUACGCCUUACCCUACUCACUCUCUCGAGCUGAGUGUUAGGAUAUGGGACUAGGACUCACCCUCUCAGGCUGAACCUCAUGUCGACCCACUCCUUAGGCCAUCAGUCUAACAGUCUUGGUUUCGCGACCUCUCUCUUUCUCUCGAGAAAGCCGAAAACAAAUGGGUGGUUUUGUAUUUGCAACUACAAACCCAUUAAAUUAAACCACAACCACUAGGUGAAAUCACCAUUAAAAUGCAUCUAACCUAUCAGCAAACAAGACCCAACAAUAAUAUCAACACAUAUUUGCUAAAUCACACCCCAAGAAUGGAGUUUUUAGCCACACAUCAAGAAAUAAGAAAUUAUACCUAAAAUGAUAGAGAAAUCAAAUGGGUAUAAGAAAUUAAACCUUGAUUUGAACAAAGAAAGAAAAAUAGAGAAGACCCAUUUCCAAUUUGGGGAAGAUGAACUCCUUUCUUCAAGUCUCCCACAAACCCUCUCCAAACUUGAGAGAAAAUAUAAAAGCUAAAGUGAAAAUUACAAUAAUGUUUUUACUUUAAUGUUCCACACUAAAAAUCUAGUAAAAAGUUUAGUAUUUAUAGACUUCAGAAAAUAGUGAUGGCGGAUCGCUCGACGAGGUUAGUCGCGAACGCCGAAUCACUCUGUGAUUCGCCCUUCUUCUAGUUCAUCGUCGUUUGUGCUUUGCCUUCAGCAUAUGUGCGUUCUGGAUCAUUGGGCGGUAUACUUCUGCUUCGCGAAACUGAUCGGCGAAACGCCGAUUGCUCCUUUCAUCGCCUUUUUUAUCCUUCUCCUUCAGGGCUUCGCGUACUGGAACAAAGGGCGUAGUGCGUCCCUUCAGUGAAUCGCCAAGCAUGCUUGGCGAUGCUCAGGCUUUCAACUUCUUCAUUCUUUUCAGCCUUUUUGUUCCUUUUUGCACCUUAGAGUCCAUGCUUCCACUAAAACUUUAAAUACCUCAAACUUAAGUAUUUUCAUCAGAUAUUUAGACUAAAUAAGCAUUUGAGGACACUAUUUCUAUUAAAAUAAAGCCCUAAAUGAGUCCAAUUUGUGGACUCAUCAACAAGCAAAUAGCUACUCAGCUUGGUGUUUCCAAAGUAAAUUCACGUGCUUAAAAUUUGCUCCAACAAUAUUUAACACAUUAGUAACUAAGCAAAAAAAGUCAUCUACAUUCGAAUCCUUCUUUGCAAGAGCCACUAGUGUUAACUGCAAUUGGUGGGCAAAAUAAUGAAUGCAAUAUGUCGAUGGACUUUCAUUCCAAAUCAAAGUUUUAAGACCAUUUAGCUAUCCUUGCAUAUUGCUAGCUCCAUCAUAACCUUGCCCACUUAUUUGGGAUGAACUUAAUUAGUGAUCUGAAAGAAAAGUGUAGAUUGCCUCCUUUAAUGAACAAGCAGAUGUAUCACUAACAUGAAUAAUACCAAAAAAUUGCUCUAUCACUUCUCCUUCUUUGUUAACAUAUCUCAAAAUAAGUGACAUUUGCUCCUUGUUUGAUACAUUCUUUGAUUCAUCGACUAGUAUCUCAAAAUAAUCCCCAUCUAAAUCUUCAAGAAUAGAUUUGAUUGUUUCCUUAGCACAAGAAUCAACAAUAUCCUUUUGAAUACUUGGAGAACACAUCAUUUCAUUUUUUGGAGUUUUUUGUAUAAUAAUGCUUCCAACAUCUUCAUUGAUAUCUCCACACCAUUGCAAAAGUUCAAGAAAAAUACUUCUAUUUGAAGAAGAUCGAUUCUCAUCAUGUACACAGAAUGAUAAUCCUAAUUUCAAGAGAAAUCUUGUCACAUCAACUAAAGCACUCAAGCGACGCCGAGACUCACUUUUUUCUUUCUUGGACUUUUUAUCAAAGGAAGUGCGUAUUGGCUGUGAUUGAUUCAUCAAAUCAAGCAUCUUGUUGAAACACUUGUUGUGGAUGUUUUUUAUAUCUCCAACAUGAGCUCUAUAUCUUUCAAUAGCUAUGUUCCAAGCUCUAAAGCCGAUCUUUGUGAAAGCAGCAUCAACCACAUCUCCACGACUUUCACAUUUAUUUUUGAACAAGUAGCAACACAAACAAACAUCUUUUGUUAUGCUAUACUCCAACCACUUACGAUCAUUAAACCAAUUAGAAAAAAACUGUCGCAUUUCCUUUCCAAACUUAGUUUUAGGAAAUUUAUGAUCCUUAGAUUGGCAAGCUUUUUUAGAAUAUAAUAUCUCCUAAUAUCGUCACAUAUAUUAGGAUUAUAUUCUGCAAUGGACUUUCUAAUUUCGGAUCAGCUUCAAGAGAUUCUAAAUCAACAUUUGAAAUAAAUGUUUCCCUUUGAAUUUUCGGAGCUAUGGUUGAAGCGGUAGAUGGAUGAGUAGAGCUAGAACUUGGAUGCCCAAUUUUUGAUCUUGUGACAUACUUAUCCAUCUCAAUUUACAAAGAUAAAUUCCCGCAAAAAAAUCAAUUUUAUCAUAGAAUUAAUUCACAUAAUUCAAUUAAUUUUUAUUGAAAUAUAUAACUUUCUGUCAACAACCCAAACAACAAUUAAUAUAUCUAUUUGAUCUUUCAACACCACAAACAAUAAUUACUAAUAUAUGAGUCAAUGAGCACAAAAUUUUCAGUUGCACAAUUUGUAUACAUACUAAAAUUUAAUUUUUGAAUCAAGUAAGUUGGUUAGAAAAAAAUUUAUUUCAAAAGUAUUCAAAAAAAUAUAAUUUUAAUCACAAAACACUAUAUAUGUGAGACUCUAAAGUCUAAACCUAUUUAUCAAGUAACAAAAAAAGUAUGUGGAAUCUAUUUUAAAAAUUAAGACUUAAGAGUACUAGCCAUAAGCAAUGAAAAUCUCAAAACCUAAUUCCCCAAACCCUUUUUUUUUUUCAUUAUCUAACUUUAAUCAAACAUCAAAUCUUAUUACCUUGCUUUUGUAUUUUGAUUUUGAAAAGAAAAAAACUUGAUGUUUGUUGAUGGGCUGGCUACUUUCUCUUUGAAACAAGAAGAAGAAGAAUGAUUUCGUCAUUUUGUUAAAAGAAAAAAUCUCAUAAAAGCGGGCAGUGGAAAAUGUUUUAAAUCAUAGGAAAGGUUAAAAAUAAAAAGAAAGAGAAAGUUAGUCAGCCUAGACUAAUUAAGAAUAGGAAAAGUCAAAACAUGUACAAAAUUCGGAGUAAAAGAAUGCAUAUUUAUAUUCACUGGAAAAAGUUUAUAAAAAAAGAUGGGGCUGACUGGAUUCGAACACUCGCCCUCAUGCUUCGCGCGCCUUAUAUUUCAAACGUAAACCAGCGCACCUACGACUGCUUUUGUUCUAUGGGUGCUUAUUUAUAUUUAAUAACGUAUUUAUCAUAUUUUCUCUCUCUCUAUAUAUAUAUAUAAAUCCGGAGUCAAUAGGUGCUCGAGCACCCAAAACUGACUACGUGGGUCUACCACUGCUUAAUAAAACAAGGAAAAAGGUGCAAAAUUCGCUGGAAAUAAAGGUAAAAAAAAGGGUGCAAAAUUCGUAGAAAAAGGAUGGGGCUGACGGGAUUCGAACCUUGACCCGCAUUGCUUCGCACACCUUAUAUUCCAAACGUAAACCAGCGCACCCACGACUACUUUUGUUCAAUGGGUGCUAAUUUAUAUUUAUUUAAUAACGUAUUUGUCAUAUUAGCUAUAUAUUUACAAAAUUUUUGUCGGAGUCAAUGGGUUCUCGAGCACCCGAAACCAGCUACGUGGGUCCGCCUGGUGAUAGGGGGGAGUCACUCUUGCGUUCUCUCUUUUGGGUAGGUCAAUCUCGCUCUUACUAAUUUACCCCUAUUCCAUCCUAUAUCAUCCCAUGCUAUAUACACCCAUUCGCAAACGCCGCCACUUCCACUUGUUGCACUUUGAGCAUACCCCUUCGUCCGUUAUGUAGGACCAUUCAGAAACGCACCACUUCUCCCUCCUGCGCAAUGAAGAAACACCUCUGUCCAUUAUUCCCAAACAGUCGCACCCCAUCGCUUCCCGCUAUUUAUAACUACGAAGCUGCGAUGCUUCUCCCCAUCAAACACACAACAAUUACAGUUGACACACAGGUAUGCAACACCACACCAUAUCAUUCACAUACUGCCUUACUACGUCUAACCUUUUUCUUCACCAAUUUAAUUAUUUUCCUUGCACACAGAAUAAUCGCAAACACAACAUUCCAUGCAUAUGCUCUGCCAUUUAACAAGUUGUAGGUUAUUUCCUUUUGUACGUCAUUCCCUUGUCACUUUAAACUUACAUUAUGAAAGAACGCAACAUGAAUCACAUUCCAGAUGAAAUCAUUCGCUUUGUUCCUUCCCCUUGCGGCAACAAUAACAUUGACUAUAAUUUGUUUGCCUGCGUAUUUACAGUUCCCUGCCAUUUAUAACUACAGAUUUCCUAUAUAUAUGUUACUUAUGCCCUUACGAUUGAGCUAUUUGCAUCUUACUGCUACCCUCUGUUAUGCAUCACAUUCAACCCAACAAUUCUACGGAUAAUUAGUGGUUCGUCUGCUUACAUACAAUCUCCUGGCAAUUCUAAAAAAAGCCAGCAAUUAACAUUGUUGCACUCAUCUCCCCAGGUACCUGCAUUCAUCAAGAUUUUGCCCACAUGGAGACUGAAAUGGAAUUAGCAAAAUAGAGUGUACCGAUAAAUAAGAUACCAAAAAACUAUGUUGAUUAUGUGAUGAGAGUCUUAAUUAUACAAAGGGGUUCAAUAGCACCUUACAAGAAUUCAAGGCACAACGGGACUUUCAGAACGAUAAUAUUAGUUGAUGAAGAGGUAACAACAUUGACACUUUUACUUACGCUAUCGUACUAUCGUUCAAGUUUGUUGUACUUAUGCCACCCCCUGCUUAAUAUUAGGGGACAAAUAUUCAAGCAACACUACUUAAUAAGUAUAUCAAAACAUGGAAGAACUCCUUGAAGCCAAAUAAGAGUUACUACAUUGCUAAAGGACGCUUAGAUCGCGUCAACCCCAACUACUCUUCUGUGCAUAAAGAAGUUGAAUUGGCCUUUACAGACAACACAAUCAUAAAGGAGACUGACCAUGAGGUUUCAACACACAAAUUCUCUGAUGAAUUUUUAUCACUGGACGAUGCCGAUAAAUUACCUAAUGAUGCUAUUCUAGGUAACUAUCCAGACGACUAAAUUGUAAUUUUCAUGCUCCAUUACGUAAUCGGUAUCACUAAUUUACUUUACCUAUUUCCAGACUUGAUUUGUGUCUUAGUUUCAAUCAAUUCCCUCAUUCAAAAUACGAAUUCCAAGAGACGAGAAAUACUUGUUACAAAUGAGCUGUAAGUUGCGAUGAUUCAUAAUCUACCAUCUAUAUAGAGAUAUGGUGAUGUACUCACUUUUCACUUCUAACUCAUAAUCCAGCAUGGAGCAUACAACUAUUAUUCUAUGGGGGAGAUUUUGCUGAAAAUGACAGUGCAUUCCUAGAAAAGCUGAAAGAUGAUAAACCUAUACUGGACUUAUGCUACAUUAGAGUCUCAAUCUAUAAAGGUAUCCAACAGUCUAUCGUAGAUGUUUAUCGAAUAUACACCGAGUAUUGUUCUUGUUUGCAAACAUUAACAUGCUCUUCUCAUAUUAGGCAGAUUUGGGAUCUCCACUAUUCCUGUGAGUAGCGUCUUGAUCAAUCCAAUAUUCCAAAAAGCAACCGACCUUCGAGCCCGAUACAUUACAUUUUUCACAAUUAUGUUUACCACUGUUACUUUAACCCAACUAUCAAAACUAAUGUUUAAACUAUACUUUACCAUUUUAGCCAAGUUAAAUUGAACAUUGCUGUAAUAGAACAUAAUUCCUCUAUUAUCAUUGUUGUGCAAUUACAUAUUACCAUAAACCCAAAAAACAUAUGCACUGAAACCUCACUCUAAAUGGCUCACACAGUUGACUAACCUCAUCGUAAAUACAGGUGUAAAAUCAUAAAAGCCGACAACAAAGAUAUUACAGUAACACCAAGUAAGGUAAUGAGAAGAGUCAUAGAAGUUCCGUUGGUCCAUAUUCUCGAUGGGUUUUUUGCUGAUUCACUGGCAUAUACCUCUCCAUCAAUAAAAUUUAUUUGUAUGUGCAACAUAUAUUCACAAAUAUGGUAUAUUGGUGAUUUGCAGGAUUGUAUAUACAAGUUAUAUAUAUAUAUAUAUAUAUUCUACUUUUUUUUCUUUUAUAUUUUUUUUUCCACUCCUCUUUUCCUUUUUCUUUGACGGCUUUUUGAAGAUCGAUAAUGGGGAUACUUUCCAUGGCUACCUCAUCCUCAUCGACUUUCAUUGAAAUUUUAAACACCAGUGGAAUCUCGAUGUUCUCUGUUGAAGCUAGAGGCGAAAGGAAGACUUUGUCGCCAUAAUUUUUUCUUCUUCCAUUGCUAUAAUAUUUAACAAAGAAUGAUUCUUCUGAGAAUCACUAGGAUAGCUAACCUGAGGCAUAUGAUGAUGAAAAAAAUUAAUUCUCCACCCAAGUGUCGAAAGGACUUAGAGUAAAAUUCUUCUAAUUGAGCUGAGAAGUUUUAAAAGAUUAAUAGAUUCGUCAUUUUUACAUAACAGACACACCUGAAUAAGUUGAUAGUGAAUUGUCUGUUUGAAUUCACAUACCUAGGUCUAUAUAUGUUACCAUCCCCUAACAAGAAAAGUAUAUGUGUCUAGACAUAUGAUGUUUGAUGAAAGCACAUUGCCUUAUGUACACUCAAAUCAAUAUCAUGCAAAAUCUAAUAUAUUUACUCACUUAGCUAUUUUUGUAGAAUUUUUAUCUAAAAUGCAUGCACCUAACAUUACCAACUCCACUUCAGGGGUAUAAUUGUCCAGCUUCCCUCACCUUUCAACCAAUGACAAUAACUAUAAUGCAACUAAUGAUACAACAAUAUGUGUGUCCUUCCAUUUAGACAAUGUGAGGACAAAUGAUAAAGCAAAUGAAGAGGUUCUACAUGGUUUUUAGCCGCUUGAUUUGAUAGUCAUAGAAGCUCACAAUCUUAGCAUAACGAUCAAGAAUAGAACGAUGCGGGGAGAGCCAAUCCAUACUCAAAAUAACAUCAAAAUCUACCAUCCCUAAAAUGAUGAAGUCUACCCAAGUAUCAUACCUGGCCAAAGAAAUAAGACAUGAUCGAUACAGUCGAUCCACCACUAAGGAUUCACCCACUGGUGUAGAAACAUGAAUAAGCACAUGCAUGCAAUCAGAAAACAUAUCAAACCCAAUAGCAAAAUAAGUAGACAUAUACGAGAAAGAAGACCCCAAAUCAAAUAAUGCAAAUUCAGGUCAAUGGAUAAUUGGGAUGAUAUAUGUGAUCACAACAUCAGAAGUGUCAGCUUCAGGUCUUCAUGGAAAAGCAUAACAUUGGUCAUCUCGUCCAUCUGCAGUCUGAGUAGAACCUCUACCUCCACUUUAUGGAACUAUAGCACCCCUACCAAAAGUCCUACCACCUCUACCUGACUGACCUCUACCUCGACCCCUGGUCAGAGGCACUGAAUCUCUAGUUGGAGCAGCUGAAUAAGUACGUUAGGGUCCUGAGUGAGUCCGAAGAGGACAUUGUCACAUCAUAUGACCUGGAUCCCCACAAGUAAAGCAAGAUCUCGACACAUAUAACUAUUGUUGUGAACUAGACGAACUACCAUGACUACCUCAACUAAAACCAUAAGAUCAUCAGGCUGACUGCCCACUGUUAGUUGUUGGCAUAAAAGUAUGAACUGAUCCACAAUGCUGAAAGAAGCUACUAUUUCUAUGUCAACCUCUACCUCCAGAAAACUGACCAGUAGACAGGCCAUCUAGGGCUCUCCAAACUCUUCUAAAAGCAUCAACUCCAUCUCUUUGGCGGUGCUCACAAUAGAUUAGAAGGAACCCCCCUCUCUGGCUGGUCGGAACACAUACGAGCUGGUAGAGAAAUUCAACCCUCUCACAACCUUGUGAACUCUCAAUGUCUCAUCAAGAACAAUAGUCAAUGCAUGCCUAGAAAGCUCAUAGAAAUAGGCCUCACACUCGGUCACAGUCAAACUUCCCUAAGUUAAGCUCUCAAAUCUUAGACGAUUCUCUUCUAUCAUAUUCUAAGGAAUGAAGCAGCCCUUAAAAUCACUAGCGAACACAUCCCAUUUACCGGGGGAGAUCCAAUUGGUCUAGACCUUACAAAAGUCCUCCACUAAUAUUUGGCGCGACUAUGAAGUUGAAGUGCAACAAAACGGACACCACGGGCAUCCACCAUACCCACGGGUUCGAGCAUCUCAUGGCACAAAGUCAAGAACUCAUAAGCAUCCUCGCUCUUAUCACCUUGAAACUGGGGUGGUUUCAUCAUUUGAAACCUCUCAUAACACUAUUGAUCAGCUGUUGUCAGAAUAACCUUGAGAGUAAUCUAUGCACCAAUAGUCAAUGCAGGAACCACUGGUGGCUAGCCCACCUGAACAUAUAUACCCGGAGUCUGUUGCUGACCUGGGGUCUGCGCCUUUACCCUCAUCGGAGCACAUUGUGGCAUACCUGUCGCACUACCCUGAGAGAGGUUCUCUAACACACAUAACAUCCUCAACAAAGUCUCAUGAAACAAAGGAGCUCCAAACUUGGGAGGAACCUGGUCCUCAACAACCUUAACCUAUGGCUCUGGAGAAGCCUUUCUAGCUCGACAUUUGGCUGGUGCUGCUCCACGAGCACGACCUCUAGUCGGUGCUACUACACGAGCACGACUUGUGUCUCGGUCCCUCCAUCUACCCCUAGUUGGGGUUUCAACAACAAGCUCAGCGACUGCGUUUAUUCUACUAUUGGAAACAAAAGCUCUGGUCCAUUGCAUAUGCCAAAACAACACGCGUCAAUUCAACAUUAGCGAAGAAAAUCACGCACGAUAAGAAAAGAUGAAUAAAAAGAAGUUUUCUAACAAUCUUUGUAGAUUCUUAAAGAUAAGUACAUACGUCUCUGUAUCGAUCUUCAAGACUCUACUUAGACUUGGCUUGUGCGCACAUGAGACCUAUGAACCUGGGGCUCUGAUACCAUUUGUCACGAUCCAAAAAUGAACGUGAUGACAUUUGUCUAUUCCCAUCAAGAAGAGUCAGCCUCAACCCAACAAAAAUGAAAAAAAUGUAGAAAUAUAAAGUAAGAACAAGACAAAUUAAGGCAGAAAAAAUUCAUUCUAAACAAAUCCCUAAAACCUGGUUGUCACGCGUACAAGUCAUUAUAUUGCAUAACGUGCGAAAUUUAAGAAAUAAUUACAAGUCUUAAUCUUUGUUUCUCAACUAGAAUAAAGCUUUAGAGAAAAUGGAGAAAGGGCCCGCCAUGAUGACAAACAACUACCUCUCAAGUCUUUCAACGAGCCUCGAAUUUCAGGAGAAGAAGAAAAAAAUCACAUGGGUCCGGGUUCGGAACCUAGACAAGUGUAGAGCAAGGGGUGAAUACCAACAACAUGGUAUGCAACAAACAACCUAAUAAACAAAGCAUCUAUCUAGACAAUGAAUACCCCUUACACUCCAAACGAACCUCCUCAAACUACAAUCUGCACAGAAAUCGUCCCAACCUAACAAUUCUACAAUACAUGACUCACAAGGUCCAAUAUCCACACUUCAAUAGUCACAAUCAACAACCAAACGAAUCAAAUAACUUAUUCUUAAAUUCAAGUAGUUCACUCACACGCAACAAGUACAUAAAUCACAUAGCAAGCAAGUCAUGCAUAAGCAUCAAAUGCAUCAAGUCACAAUAAUCAAUCUCUUGAGGGAACCAUUUUCCAUCGGCACAAUAUCACUAGCCGAAACCAUUUCCCACCAGUACAAUAUCAAAUCACUAGCCGAAAUUAUUUCUCAUUGGCUUUGUAUCGAAUUACUAGCCGGAACCAUUUCCUAUCGGCUUUAUAAACACUUGUUGGAAAUGACCUCGGCAUCACAACACUCACCGACAAAGACCUCGACAUCAUAAACUCACAAGUAAAAACCUCGGCAUCAUAAGUCAUCAUAUAUCUCAUCACGGUGCUCACAAUCAAUGUAUACAUGCAAUAUCACACCACAUGAAAGAGAAAGUAAUUCACAUAAUUCAAGUCCACAUUCAUGCUUUCAAACAUUUCAUCAAACAAUCAACACGAGUCACAAUAAGGCAAUUCACAUCAUCAUGUUCAUCACAUAGUCUUUUUCAUUUCAACCCCUUUUUAUUCAUUUAGAUGUACCAAGUGGACAAUUAAACCCUUCACUUCAUCCCCAUUACUCCCAACACACAAGUAACAAGAAAGUAUACAAAUUCUAUUAUAAUACAAGGUUUAGGAGAUCAUUUGACUUAAAUCAAUUAACAGUCACUCUAAGAGUUGAGUCUUCCCCUUCCGAAUCACUUCCAAAGUCAUACAAUCUAUAAUAAUAAUCUAGUGUUCACAAUCACUAAUAGGAAACAAGAAUUCUCGCAUCAAUUAUAUGGAGAAAUGGGUCAAUCAACUCAAAACCCAAUUUCAAAAAGGAGGUUUGAAUUCGGAAAACAAUACUUGAAAAUGAUGUUUAAGACUUUAGAAACUCAUUAGUGAAACCCAUUUCAAAAAAUGGAUCAAAACUACUUCAAAAUCACAAUUUCUCUAAGUUCUUGGGUUGUUGAAGAUAACCCCAAAUUUCUCAUUUAAAAAGCUUGAUUUGAGCACAUACAACCAUAAAUAAUAAAGGUGUAAUUGAAGAUUUAAAGUUAAGAAUCUUCACCCAAAAUUUUCCUAAAAAAUCUGGUCCAAAUUGCCACCUCAAAACUCAAAAAUGGUAAAAGCGACUUAAACCCCAAAAUAAUCUUUGAUUGUCGCAAAAGAAAUCAGGUGUUCGCUUUCGCUAAAAAUGCGGGCAUCGCAAAAGCGAACGGCCUUCGCUUUUAGCGAAGGUCGCAUAAGCGAACGGCCUUCGCUUUUAGCAAAGGUCGCAUAAGCGAAGGAUUCUUCACAAAUGCAAAGGUCAACAAGGGUUGACCCUUCACAUAAGAGAAACAAACCUUGCUAAAGCGAGCCACCCCUCGCAAAAGUUGAGUUCACCAGAACAAAGACAUUAGAAAAUCAGCAACACUUUAUACAACGAAAAGGCCUCCGGGAUUUGUUUGAAACUCCAUAUUCACAAACCACAUAUGAAAAUCAAUUGUACUCAACGUUUCGGAUUCAACGAAAUCGUCAAAACAUGAAUCUGAGGUCUCCUUGACCCGAUAUCUGUGAAAUCCACAAGAAACUAACUCAAAAUCUAAAAAUGCUAAAACAAGUUUGAGACCUUUCAACUCAAAAAUCAACCAAGACCUCACCUAGGCCUAUAAUCAUCCCUCGAAUCAAAUGGAACUCUCAAAAUUCUGAUCCAAGCAUCCGAACUCUAAAUGUUGACCAAAGUCUACCAGAGGCUGAAAUUCCAUAAUUUCACAAUUUAAGACCUCAAAUCCUCAAAAAGACUCAAAAUCAGAAACCGACAACUCUCACAAACCAGAUUUCAUAUUCUGGACAGAUGGACCUGACGAAAUUUUAAUCCAAAACUCGAAACUCCUAAAGACACCGAAAACCACUUUCUUACAACUUAGCCUUUCAAACUCAAAACUUACCAAAAUUAUCAACUUUUAACUCAAACUUCAAAACCAACUUCUCAAAAUUCAAAUAUAGAAGACCCAGGAACAAUAUCAGAAAGGAAAAGUGAUAAAUUCAUGAAACUUUUCAAAAAUGACCGAUCGAGUCAUUACAGGUUUAGUGUUGAAGCUGAAUAAGGCAGCCACUGCAGCUAAAAUGACAUGGAUCAUGUACAUUUUUCAUGACAUUGGAGUUUAUCUUAAGAUAGUGCCUCCUUGUUUUAUGACAACUUGGGUGCUUUAUAUAUGAUGAUAAAUCUAGAUAUGUAUGCUAAGGACCAAACAUGUAGAAAUGAACUAACAUUUUGUUCGAGAAAAAGUAGCUAGCAGACAAUUAGUAACACAGUUUGUAAGGUCCAAGGACUAGUUAGUCACUUAGUUGACACUUGAUGUUUGCGUAAUCAAUGACACAACUUUCGAUGCAAGUGUCUACGAUCGUACAAAGAGUAUAAUAACCCAACCAAGGGUUGGGGUCCAGUCCCAACGGAGUGGUUUUGAGAAUUAAUAGAAAAAUAAAAUUUAGUUCUAACUAGUCGUAGCUAAAAACAUUAACGAUUAAAAAUAUUGUAAAUUGAAGGGAGACACAAAAGUGUCAAAUAUCGAUUUGAGGGUUUUGUCACAAGUAUAACAAAAACAGUAAAAAUAACAAAGAAAUCUAUGAAUGAGAGGGUAUUCUUGGGAUGUGACCGCAAUAUGUAUUGGUAUAAAUCGUUGGGUACAUGCUUUCGAUAGGAAAUUUGCAAGAUAAUAGUGACUAGGCUAAGUUUUAGAUGGAAAUAAGUUUCCUUUCGGGCAACUUACCCCGUUUUAAAUGGGUUCUUCUCGGACACCCAUUUGCCGCAUGAAGGCCUACCUAUGCCUUGCCCCACUCACUCUCUCGAGCUGAGUGUUAGGUUAUGGGACUAGGGCUCACCCUCUCGGGCUGAACCUCAUUUCCAUCUACUCCUUAGGCCAUCAGUCUAGCGGUCUUGGUUUCACGACCUCUCUCUUGAGCAAGCCGAAAACACAUGGGGUGGUUUUGUAUUUGCAACUACAAACCCAUUAAAUUAAACCACAACCGCUAGGUGAAAUAACCCUUAAAAUACAUCUAACCUAUCAGCAAACAAGACCCAACAAUAAUAUCAACACAUAUUUGCUAAAUCACACCCCAAGAAUUGGGGUUUUUAGCCACACAUCAAGAGAUAGAAAUUUAUACCUAAAUGAGCUUGCAUUCAAAUGGGUAUGAAGAUUUAAGUCUUGUUACAGGCCAAGAGUGAAGAAUCCGAGAGACCCAGAGAUGAAAUCCUCUUCCUCUUCAAGUUUCAAAACCCUCUCCAACUCAGAGAAAAAGUACUAAAAUUAUAUUAAUUGUUUCACACUGAAAAUCUUAUGAUACUAAAAAUCUCCUUACUAAGCUAUAACUCUUAACGAGUAUUUAUAGUUUUCAAAAAUCUAUGUUACACCGGGUCUUUUGGCAAUAUUAGUCGGAAUUGCCGAUCAACUCGGCGAUUCACCCUUUGGUGUAGUUCAUCGCCGUCUUGCACCAUCCUUCGGCAUCGUCGUGUUCUGGGUCAUUGGGAAGUAUUGCUUCACGGAACUUCUUGGCGAUGCGCCGACUGCUCCUUUUUUCCGCCGACUUGAUCAUUUCCUUCAGGCUCAGCACACUGGAACAAAAGCCGAAGUGAGACCCUUCAGCGACUCGCCAAGUGGACUCGGCGAUCCUCAUGCCUUCGUUUUCUCGUUCUUUUCACCUUUUUUUGUUCCUUUUUGCGGUAAUGGUGUCCAUGCUUUCCUUCGAACUUCAAAUACCUGAAACUUAAGUGUUUUCAUCAGAUAUUUAGACUAAAUAAGCAUUUAAGAACACUAUUUCUAUUAAAAUAAAGCCCUAAAUGAGUCCAAUUUGUGGACUCAUUAACACCACCAACUUAAAUAUUUGCUUGUCCUCAAGUAAAACUCAAGUUCAGCAGUUCAAAUAGAAUGUCUCAAAUAGUGCUACACAAGACUAAAUCAUAAACAUACACAACAAGACUCAAAUUACUCAUGCAAAUAUCAAUUGUGUACUCAAAGAUUCAAGUUGUGACACACCAUUACCAAAGAUUCUCAUGCUCGCAAUACUUGCUACUUGUGCAAAUUCAAGCUCAACAAAAAGUAUCUAAAUGCACUCACAUAAAAAAUGAUUCCAUAUCCACACACGGAGGUUAAUCAAUUCAAGAUCAGGAAUCAGAUGCAACGCUCACACUCAAAAAGAGGAACACAAUGCAUGUUUUCACCCAUAGGCUUGCCCUUAUUUUCCAAUCGAUCUUCUGUUAGGCUCACUCAAGAUAAAAAAAAGGUCUUUCUAAGGCUUGUAAUGGGACUGAGUGCAAAGGUAUGGUAAUUUGGGCUCAGUGACUUUUUCCUCAUGGGAUGUGGUAUUCUCAAGGCAUUCCCUUCUUUUCCUUUAUUUAUUCUUUUUCUAGUGCUUUUAAGUCAUCUUUUUAUUCACCUCCAAAGAUUGCUUGGAAACCCAAUUUCUUCUAUACUUUUAUUCCACAAAUUAUAUAUAUAUCUAUAUAUUAUUUAUUUUUGAAGGGUUUCCAUUGUUCCGCAACACCAUGGGUUAAGGGAGACUUUUCUUGCACUUCUUGAUUCCUCCUUUUCCUUUUCAACACACCCCCAACUUAGACUUGUGGCUUAAGUUGGCUAUUCACUAAACUGCAAAUCAAGAUGAUUAUAGGUAGUGGGUCAAGUAAGGUCUAUGUUCAUCAAGGUUCUUCCAAAGAAAGGUAAGGCUCAAAAGGUGUUCAAGAGAGUUUCACACGCUCAUUGUUGGCCACAAAAGAGGUAUAUGUCAAAUUUGCCACACUCUUCAAAAGUUGCCUAAGAUCAUUUCAAGAGCACACCUUACUAAAUCAAUCAGACUAACGAGACAAAUUCUAGGUUUAUUCAUGCAAGAUUCAAAGUAAGCUAAUCACACAAGGCAUCGACACUUAAGUGAAAUAAUACUACACACUUUUUCUAGUGUGCAACGGUCAUUACAAGAGAAUCAAUUCGAUAAAUGACUAAUCACAACGAGAUGCAAAGAGUUAACAUAUUGUUUAUGCAACUUCAUUUGGUCUCGUCGCAGCCGCACGUUCAUGUUUGUUCAAUUGAGAGCACCAUUCAAGUUAUCGGUAUUGAUCAAAACCGAGACUUCAAUUUGUACAAGAACAACCACUUUCAACACAAGAGGUGGCGAAAUUUUUUGAAAAAUGAAAUUUUUUCGGAAGGGUGUCAAAAGUAUUUUGCAAUUUAAAAUAAAAGGAGCCAUAAGCUUAAACAUCCACAGAAAGCAGAUAAAACAGAAUUUUAAACAGAACAGGCCAAAUAUAAACACAAAACACGAAUUACAAUUAGCACACAAAAGGUGAGCCUCACCCCACCACAAAUAAAAACAUUUGUCCUCAAAUGCAAUUAAUAAGUAUCCAACAGUUAAAGUAAUGAAAGAACAGAGAAAGAGGUAAAGAUGGGAUCCUGUCUACACGCUUGCUGCAUCUGUCGGGGCAUUGUUGCCUGAUGCAUUAGCCUGAAAUUCGACAAUGAUCCCCGGAUUGUCAUUCUCUCAUUGUGUUCAUUUGCCCUAGCUUCUGCAACAAUGUUAGCAGCAACCAUUCUGUCCACGUCAUGGCUCGCCAAAAAAGAGUUUAUAGCCAUGUACACUCCACGGUUCCACGAAGGAAUAGUGGGAUCAAUAAGGACCCUUCUGCUGGAGCUCAUUUUCUUACUUUCUCUUCUCUCUUUUGCCAGUUCUGCUAUCUUCUUGCUCUUUUGAAAUCUCGUGCUUUUACAUGUUGGGGUGACAUAUCUCUCCCUACGACCUUUGGUCUAGCCAUUUCUGUAAAAGACUUCGAGACAAAGUUGGACAAUAUUUAAACAGGGGUAGGGUUGUCCUGGGUGCAGAAUUGCUUCACCAAAGCAGUUGGUGAAGUGCGCAUCCAAUUAGGCAGUUCACUGAAAAUGAUGCAUAAAUGGUACAAGGGUGCAGAAAAAAAGGCAGGAGGCUUUCGGUGAGUCACCGAGUGUGCUUGGCGACAUCGAACUUACUGCUGAAAGUAACAAAUCAAUCAAUACAUGCAGUUAAAGGCAAAAUGGGGACGUUAAGCGAACCGCUGAGCAGUUCGGCGAGCUCGAUUUAGCUUGCCAAACUACCCAACGUGCCUAUUUUCAACCCAUUUCUUUCAAAUUCAACCCUGUAACCCCUGAUAACGCAAUGUAAGUUGUACAACACAAAUUCAACGAAGACCCAACACAAUUUUAGCACUCCCAUAGCAAAAUAAUUUAACUCAAAAGCACAGUUGAGUGGGAUUCCACCAAUUUCGCAAAUAUUACCGAAUAAUAAUCGAUAACGUAUGUGAUCUCAUCGACUCGGAGACUCAGCAAGGAUUUUAUACUAUUAAUCAUUAUGCAAAUGAGUACAAAUUUUGAUAAAAUAACUGAGGGGUUCGAUUACCAACCUUUGGUGCUGAAUUAGAUCGUACUGACAUGCUAGGCAGCAAUGCGAUCCAAAUCCACGCACAAUUCGACACUUAAAAAUACUUUAAAAUUGCCAGAAAUAUGAAGCUAAAGUGCAGGUGUGAGUUUGGUAGGAUGAAGAAAAAAAUGAGAGGAAAUGAAUGAAGUAGAACUUUUAAACCUGUUGCUUGCAAAAACUGUUCAGUUACCACCCAGUCGGCGAAGUGAGUCAGGCUCGCCCAAUCACUGUGCGAAGCGCCAAGUGAUUACUAACUUCGCCUAAUGAAAUAGGAUCUGCAGGUGCUUUUUGAUUUUCGAAGUAAACUAGGAGUGAUUUUUCCACCUCUCUCUAACUUGAGAAGAAAUAUUGAAGUUAAGGAUCAACAAUAUUCAAAUGAUCAGAAGUACUGUUCGAUUAAGAGUAUGAACAACCGUGAAUCAUUACAUAAUUGAGUAGUAACUCUACUAGUUUAGUGUUUGUAGGAGUCUAAGAGCAUGUUUGACACUGUUGGUGGGAGACAAGAAACACUUAUUUGAGAUUUUUUUGGUUGAAAAAUUAAGUGUUUGGCAAAUAAGUAAAACUACUUUUAAAUGGAAGUAGAAAUAAUUUUUUUGUCGUUGGGAAGAAGCUAAAAUUGUGUGCUUCUUAUAAAAACAAAAGCAGAAAAUUAUUUUUUUAAGACUACAAUAUCCCUUUAAUAUAUACAAAUUUACCAAUAGAUCCAUUAUUAAUUAAUUAGCAUAUCUAAUAAGUUUUGUUAAAGUUUUAUUUUUUAAAACAUAUUUUUUAUUUUUUUAUUUUUUUUAUUUUACAUUUGUGUAUUAUUAUUUAAUAUUUAUAUUUUGUAUAUUAUUUUACACAUAAUUAGGGGGGAAAAAAGGUAACACCAAUAUUUUUGUAAGAUUAGGAAAAAAAAUAACAAUUAAAGAUUUUUUGCCCCCCUCAAAAAAAGGUAAAAUAUUGAUUGAAAAUUUGAAUAUGUACAUUUUAAUUUACUAAAAAAAAAAAAAAUUAUUUUUUUAGAAUAGAUAUUUAGGGCUUGUUUGAUGUAUCUGUUGGGAGUCUACAAACACUUAUUUUGAGAAAAAAAUAUUUUUUUUUGAAAAAUUAAGAAAUUCUUUUUAAGUGGAAGUAGAAACCAUUUUUCUGCUGUUGGGAAAAAGCUAAAAAAAUUUGCUUCUUAAGACAAUAUCCAACCUACCUCUAUUUUACUCUUCAUUCUCUAUAUUUGGAGAGUAAAAUAGAGAAUGAGCACUCCAACGCCUCUUUAUUUUAGACUCUAUUCUUCAUUUUUAGAGAGUUGAAUAGUUUGGAGAACUACUUUUCACAUUCUCUUUCACUUUUUCAAUAUUUUAAUAUUAUUUCUAUUAUUUUCUAAUUAACAUAUUAUUUUACAUAUAGUAUCAUUAAAAUAUCUAAUAUUCAUAGUUCUUUUUAAAUAUAAUAUAAUAUUUUUAAAAUAUAUAUUAUUUAACAUAUACUACUUUCAUCCCGGAUUAAUAAUAUUUCAAUUUUUUUUAAAUUUUCGUCAGUAAUAUAAUUUGAUUUUAUUAUUAAUUUUUGAACGUGCAUUCGGAGUUUUGAAAUCACAUUUUGCAAUUAUUGCAGAAUCGUCACGUUUUUGAGAAAGAAGGUGUUACAUGAUAUAAUUACUACAUGUAUUAUAGUACACAACAUAAUAAUCGAGGAUGAACGUGAUCUUAAUGCACCAAUUCAAGAUGUCGUAGAGGUUCCAACUCCGACAACAUAAACAGUGGUAGAUGAAAAUCUUCGAUUUGAACAAUUUUUAGCUAGACAUAAAAAAAACUAACGACAAAUAUGCUCAUUUUGAACUCCGUAAUGUAUUAGUAGAGUAUUUAUGGGAGCAACGUAAUAAUUUUGACAGUUGAGUGUUUAUGUAAUUGUAUUUCACUUUUAUUUGAAUUUAUCCAUUGAUUUGUAUAUUAUAUAAUAUUUUGUUGCAAUUUAUGUUAUUUAAAAAUGGGAAACUUGCAUAAAUAUACAACAUUAAAUAAAUAUUUACCAUUUAUAGCAAUAACAUUUUUUUCUCAUUUGAUCACUUUUAAUACAUUUAUAAUACAAUUUUAAUACAUAUUACAAAGAACAAUUUAUUAUUCACAUAUAAUACAAGUUUUAUUGAUGAUAAUACAUUUAUCACAUAUUUUAAUAUACUUAUAAUACAAUUUGUCAAUUUCUUACCAAACAAGCAUAAUAUAUUUUUAAAAAACAAUUAUAAUACAUAUAUAUUGCAUACCUAAUUCACUUUUAAUACAUAUUGCAGCUUUAACAUAGUAUUGCUAAAAAUGGUAAUAAAUAAAAGUAUUGCUAAAAUCAGUAAUUAUUUAUUAAAAGGUAUCAUUCCAAGUAAUUUUUCCUUUAAAAAUUUAGAAUAAAAUAUAAUUUUAUAUCACAUGAAAAUUAUAUAAAGUGAUUAUUUGGGAAAAAGAAAGAAAUGAAUCAUAUUACGAAAUAAGAAAUAAUAAUAUAAUGUUAAGGAGAGAGAAGAAGAUUCUUUUUUAGAGAGUAAAAUAGAGAAUUGAGUUGGAGUUGGUUGUCUGAAAAAAUAGAGAACUCAAUAUUUGGAGAGUAAAAUAGAGUAUAAGAUUGGAGAUGCCCUAAAAAAAAGCAUAAGUAGUAAUUAUUUUUUUCAAGACUAAGAGCCUGUUUGGCAUUACUAUUGAGAGUCCAAAGCACUUAUUUUGAGAAAAAAAACAUUUUUUUUGAAAAAAAUUAGUGUUUGGCAAACAUGUAAAACUGCUUUUAAAUAGAAGCGGAAACAAUUUUUCUACUGUUGGGAAGAAGCUAAAAAAUUCUGCUUUUAAAAAAAAGCAGAAGCAGAUUUUUUUUAAGACUAAAAUGUCCUAUAUAUAUAUUAUUAUUAUUAUUAUUAAUUAACUAACAUAUCUCAUAAGUUUGGUUAAGUUUCAUUUAAUAAUUUUAUUUUUUAUUUUUAUAUAAUAAAUUUUAUAUUUUAUUUUACGUUUACGUACUAUUAUUUUAUUUAUUAUUUUACGGAUUAUUUUAUAGAAUUAGAAAAUAAGAAGAAGGUAACAACAAUACUUUUGUAACAUUAGAUAAAAACAACAAUUAAAGAUUUCAAUCCUUCAAAAAAAGUAUAAUAUUAAUUGAAAAUUUGAAUAUGAACAUUUUAAUUUAAUAAAAAUAAAAUUUUAUAUUAAUUUCUUGUAAUAGAUGUUUAAACUAGUUUUUCUCAAUAAAAUAAUCUUAAUAUUAAAAGUACAUUAAUACUUGCUCUUAAUCGCAAUUUGACUCUCAAAAGCACUUUUUGAAAAAGAUUAGUCAAACACAAUUUGCUUAUAAAAAACACUUUUCAAAUGAAUUAGUCAAACACAAAUUAUUAUUUUUCUCAAAAGCUAUUUUAAAAAAGUGUUUAUGAAAAUAAGCAGUUUUUAUUAGAAAUGACAAACAAGCUCUAAAAUGUCUCUUCCAUAAAUGUGUGUGUAUAUAUACUAGAUAUUAGGUUCCCGCGCUAGCGCGGGCCCAAUAUAUAUUACUUCCUCAAUGAAUUAUAUAAAUUUUUAUGACUGUAAAUUAUUUCAUUAAGGGUAAAAUAAAUAUUUUAUAGUGAAAUUGUUACUUAAUAUAGAAAUGUGACAUUCUUUUGGGACUGACUAAANNNNNNNNNNNNNNNNNNNNNNNNNNNNNNNNNNNNNNNNNNNNNNNNNNNNNNNNNNNNNNNNNNNNNNNNNNNNNNNNNNNNNNNNNNNNNNNNNNNNNNNNNNNNNNNNNNNNNNNNNNNNNNNNNNNNNNNNNNNNNNNNNNNNNNNNNNNNNNNNNNNNNNNNNNNNNNNNNNNNNNNNNNNNNNNNNNNNNNNNNNNNNNNNNNNNNNNNNNNNNNNNNNNNNNNNNNNNNNNNNNNNNNNNNNNNNNNNNNNNNNNNNNNNNNNNNNGUAAUUUUUCAAAUAAUAUAUGUUAUUCCCUUCGUCUUAAUUAUACAAUUCGCGUAAAAUUUUGAGAGUUAAUCGAAUUUGUAAUAUUUUAAAUUUAUUUUUUAGUACUAUUUAAAAAGGAAAAAAUUAAAAUAUAAUGCCCAAUGUAUUCAAUUAUUCCAUCUCUUUCUCCUUUUUGACUUAAUUGUGUGAAUGUUUUUAAUUUAUUAUCAUCAAAUUUUAUAAAUAAUAUUCAUUUAGAAUUUUAUAUCAAGUUAAAAUCAGAUAAAUAUAUUAAUACGGAUAUUGUAGUAAAGUAAUGAAAGAGGACAAAGAGGAAUGAGUGAAUGGGGACAUUAUAAUAUGAUGUUUUUAAUGUAUUUUGUAGGGUUAGAAUAAUAUGUGGGACCCAUUGGGUGUAUUUGAGUUUCCAAUAAUGAAAAGGAAAGCCACGUGGACGGUUAUGAUUAGGUAAUUAAGAUGGAUCUAUUAAUGAGGACUUUCCUCUUGUGUGUGAAUGUUUUUUUGGUCAAUUUGAGGGGAGCACACGUGUCGACGCAGAGGCGUGUGCUAUUCCCUCUUCUUAUAUAGUAAUACUAAUAUAUCUCUUAUUAGUUAAUUAACAUAUCUCAUUUUUUUCGUUAAAUUUCAUUUAAUAAUUUUAUUUUUUUAUUUUUAUAUAACAAAUUUUAUAUUUUAUUUUACGUUUAUGUAUUAUUAUUUUUAUUUAUUAUUUUGCAGAAUUAGAAAAAAGAGGAAGAAGGUAAAAACAAUAUUUUUGUAAGAUUAGAAAAAAAAAGAAAAAAAUAACAACUAAAAAUUUCAACCCUUCAAAAAAAAUGUACAAUAUUGAUUGAAAAUUUGAAUAUUAACAUUUUAAUUCAAUAAAAAUAAAAAUUUGAUUAAAUACCAAGCAAAAUAAAUUUAAAAAUUAUUCCACAAAUUAAAUCACUACAUACAAAAAUGAACCACAAAAAUAAAUAAAAUCGUAAUUUUCAUUUUUUCUAAUCCCACAAAAGUAUUGUUAUUACUUUUUAUCUAAUCCUAUAAAAUAAUACAUAAAAUAAUAUAUAAUAUAUAAAUAAUCAUAAAAUAAUAAAUAAAUACAUUUUUAAAUUAAACUUAUGAGAUAUAUUAAUUAAUUAAUAAGAGAUAUAUUAAUAAAUAUAUAUGUACGACAAGAAUAUUCUGAUCUUAAAAAUAUAAUUUUCUUCUGUUGCUUUUAAGAAGCGUAAAAUUUUAACUUCUUUCUAACAAUAUAAUAAUCUAUACUUGCUAUUGUACUAUUAUUCUAUAGCUAGAAUAGAACUCUCAUUUUACAUGUAUUGGUUGUAGUAGGAGGCUAACUCUCUCCUAUAAAUAGGAGCAUAUGUAAUCUCAAUCAAUAUCAUCAAUAAUAUGACAAAAUGACAUAAAUAGUCUCUUAACUAUAUGAGUAGGUCUAAAAUGGUCCCUUAAUUAUACACUUGAUGAAUUUAGUCCUUUAACUAUUCAAAAACUUAUUAGCUUUGGUCUCUUAACUAUACACUUAACGGUUUUAGGCCCUUAACUAUACUUACCGAAUUUAGUCCUUUAAGUAUUCAAAAACUUAUCAGGUUUAGUCUUUGUCCAUUUUUAAUACAAAUAGCUUAGGUUUAUAUUAACGGAACCCAUACCUCGAGAAAUUAAAUCCUUUAGCAAUUUUUUCUGUUGUUUCUCUUUAUCCGAGACUUUUUCUUCAAAUUAACCUUAUGCGAAGAACCUUAACCUCAACGAUUUAAAAUAAAAUUUACGAGGAAAGAAAAUAUAAGUCAUAAUUUUAUUCAACAGAGGAUAAAAUGAAGCAUAUUAUUGCUACUAAGGACUUGAAUAUGCUAAAUUUUAUUAUAAAAAGAAAAAAAAUCGUUACCCGUUAAAUUCAAAGUUUGUUCUCCAACGACUUCAUUGAACGGAAUUUGUUUAAUUUUUCAGAAAUUAAAUUUUAUAAAAUGGUAGAUUUGCAAAUUUUUUUAAAUAGAUCAAUUUUACUAUUCUAUUCAUUUUAUUUUACGUAAAGAAAUUUGAGUAAAUUAAAUAAAAUCCGCACUGAUUAGCAUAUUCAAGUGCGGAUUUAAGUCAUUAACAACAAUUAUAUGCUUAAUUUUAUCCUCAAUUGAAUAAAAUUAGGACUUAUAUCUUCUUUCCUCAUUAAUUUAAUUUUGAAUCGUUGACGUUAUUGUUCUUUUCAUUAGAAUAGUUUGAAGAAAAAAGGACUGGGAUAGAGAAACACUAAAAAAAUAAGUUAAAGAUUUUAUUUCACUAAAAUUUUCAUUAAUAUAAAGCUAAGCUAUUUGUAUUAAAAAAUGAACAAAGAUCAAACCUCAUAAGUUUUUAAAAACUUAAAGGACUAAAAUCGGUAAGUUCAUAGUUAGUGGACUAAAAUCGGUAAGUGUAUAUAGUUAAGGGACCAAAGCUGAUAAGUUUUUGAAUAGUUAAAGGACUAAAUCCGUUAAAUGUAUAGUUAAAAGACUAUUUUAGACCUACUCCUAUAGUUAAGGGACUAUUUAUGUCAUUUUCUCUCAAUAAUACAAACAAUUCUUUCAUUAGAUUUCUUCAUAUACAAGCAUAUCUUAUCAUUACUAUAUAUAUAUAUUUGGUAGUUUAGUCCUAAUAGGUAGGAACAAGGUAGAUUGAUGUUUUGGUAUAAAAAAAAAGGGAAGAAGAAAACAUUGCACAUUGAAGUGCAUGCUAAUUGAUUUUAAAAGAUUCUAACUUUUGAGCAAUAAAAAAUGAAGGAUAGGACAAAACAACCAAUGGAAUCUAAAUGUCAAAAUCAUUUUUGAAUAGUAUAUAUAUAAGAAUAAAAGUGGUUGAUAUAUGUAAAUCAAAGAGUUCUCGUCAUGAGCUGUACAUAAAAAUGAGAAUUAUAUGUGAAAGCUUCUUAUUCCAUCACAAAGUAUAUUAUAAUAUCAUAUAUUUUUUUUGUAUAUUAGUACCAUUGUUAUUUUGUAUUUCAUCUCAUACCUUAUCCAGUUGUAGUUAAUUGUAUACUAAAAAAAGUUAUAUUGAUAAUUUUUGUCUCACGUAUUUGGUAACAAGUCAAAAUCACAAUGUUAUUUGUAGCCACCAAUACUAUAUGCAUCUUUCUCUAUGUUAAUAUGUUACAUCUUUGAUUUAGAGCCGGUUGGUUUUUAACUUUUUAAAAUUAUUUUAAAUUUAUUUUAAGUUAUUUUUAACCUUGUCAAAUACUUCCUUAAUCUUAUGCAAGAAAAAUUAUAAAUCAUUUAUGAUUAAAAAAAAAAAGAAGAAAAAAAGAGAAGUUAAACCAGAUGAAUUUGACUCCUGAUCAUUUCAUUUCUCUUCAUUUUCAGGUUCUUAUUGGGAUGAUAGACACAUGCAUGUCAUAAAUUUAAAUCAAUGGUUCAGAUAAAUCUUCUUCAAUCAUCAUAAUUAAGAUAAUUAAUUACAUUCAUAUAUUUAUUUUUAAAAAUAUUAUUUUAAUAUCACAAUUUUACCUGUACAUGAUAUUUUUCCUAAAUAUAUUUCAACUUUUCUUACUUCUCUUCCGUAACAAAAAACCGUACUUGCUUUUGAAUUUUUUUGGCUACUUUUUUCCUUCCAAAUAGUUUUUAGGAAAAAGGCUAAAAAAAAAUGCCCUUUUAACAAUAUUGAAAAUGGAUCAGAAAUGCACUCCUUCCACUUAUUGGUUUAAAAAUGUCCUUAACAUUUUCUUUAGGUUAAAAAAUACUCAUUAUUUAACAUAAAUAUGACAUGAAUUUUAACUAAACAAGUUAUCUAAAAUUCCCUUAACGUUUUUUUUAGGUUCAAAAAUGCCCAUUAAAAAUUGUGGGAUUGUCUUAUAUUUUGGAAGUAAUUAUCUAAAAUAUUUAUUAUUUUACUCAUGGUUAAGACUUAUUUUUAUUUUAUUAAAUCUCAAGCAUUGAUUUAAAUCUAUAACAUGUGUACUCGUUCAAAUAAGAACUUAAGGAAAAUGAAGAGAAUAAAAAUAGAGAGGAGCCAAAUCUAAACCAGAUUAUUGCAGUAUUCAUAAUUACUCCAAAAAUAUAUUUUCUUGCAAAAGGAAAAAUUAGCGCCACGAUAGUCGAUAUAGUACAAAAGGAAAUUGUUCGGAUGGUAAACAUCCGUCACUUUCAAUUUUAAGAUAAAAAUGUGAGUUCGAGUCACCAAGAGAGCAAAAAGGUAGGAGCUCGGAAGGAGUUAAAAAAAGAGUGCCACGAUAUGGCCUUUACAGAGAUAUAAAUCUCCAACCAACCGUUUUCAAAAUCUUCUAAAAAAGGACAAGAUUUGGUUCGUUUAACUUUGUUGUUGAUUAAUUAGUAUAAAUUUGAUAAAUAAAUAAAUACAAAGUUUGGUUCGUUUAACUUUGUUGUUAAUUAAAUUUGAUAAAUAAAUAAAUUAUUUGUUUUGUCUUUAUGCACGAUUACUCGUUCUAUAACUAACAAUGAUUUAGCUAAAUGUUAUAUUAUUUGAUUUUAAAUUUUUAGAUGCAUCCAUUCAUUAAAAAAAGGUUUAUUUGCAUCGAAGGAGAUAAAAUUGUUGAUUGAUUUGGUUAAUAUUGAACUUGAUAAAUAAGAUGGUUGAAUAAUUAAAAAAAAUUACAUUAGUAGAAUAGAAAGCGAUGUUAAAAAAAAAUGACCACGGAGUCUUGGAGAUCUGGAGCAGGUCUUUCUCUUAUAUCCCUCGUGUCGAGAGCUAUUUCCUUGAAUAUCAACGCAGUGGAGAGUCGCGAAGAGAGAAAUUGAAAGUCACUUGACUGUAAGGAGAAAAGGUCAUUAUAGAAAGAAAAAAAAUUACCUAGAUACACAUUUUAUUUUACCAUAAUCUCUAAAAUCUAUAUCAUUUAAUUUAUUUUUUUCAAAAAUUUCCUCUCUAAUACAUUCCUCCCUUUUCGGAUACAUCCCUCCACUAUGUAUUGUCCUAUUCACUCUCUGAUACAUCUAUAUCCCUCCUCCCCUCUCAAAUACAUCCCUUCCCUAUGUAUUGUCCUAUGCCCUCUCUGAUAUACCUCUACCUCUCAGAUACAUGCCUCUAGUGAUGUAUCCGGAAGUCUAGUAAUGUAUUCGAAAUUUAUAAAUUUUAAGAAAUUUUUGUAAUUUCGAAAAUAGUAGGAAAAUAAUGUAAUUAACUCUAAACACUAUGAAAUUCAUGCAAAUUUUACUAAAAAAAUGUUAGUUAAUCAAAGAUCCAACUGAUCACCAAAAAAUUCCUGAGUAUUCCACCGCUUUCCAACUUGUAUCAUGCAUGCUAUUUGUCCCCGUCCUCAUAUGGUUCAGUACACAUCUCGAAGUGUUACUGUAAUCAUGUCGUCAAGCCCAUUUAAUACAAUUUACACUUGAGUACGUAGGAUUUAAACUUUGUUGAUUUAUAUUUGAGAUUCUACACAUUAAAUUUGACUUAUUAAAUUCAAAAUUAUUACUCCCUUUGUCCUUAAUUAUUUGUUCAUUUUUUUUUAAUUUUUUUUUUCACAAAUUAAGAAAGGAUAGUUUUUUUUUACAUAUUAUACCCGCAAUUAAUUACUUGAAAAUUUUAAAUUUUUAAUUCAUCUACUUCAUAAUUAGUUGAGGUAAAAUGGUAAACUCACUACAUCAAUCAUUGUUUUCUUAAUAGAUAUAUCAAUUUAAAAGUGGAUAAGUAAUUAGAGACAUGACUCUGCUCAUAAUAUACUAGCCCUACCUACAUCGUCCUCCCUAGCUACCCUAGUAGCAGAUAAUAUGUUCCAAUAAGCAACAAUCAUAUGGGGCCUUAGAGGUGUUUUAUUGGUUUGAGCUCAUUUUCCAAGAUUAUAUAUAUAUCAUCUUUUCAAGUCCUUCAAAGGUUGCUUUUGGGACAUGGUUAAUUAUUUUCACCCUAUUUUCAAUAUGCAAUACAAGUGUACUGUAUUUUCAGAUCUUCACAGUUUGACCAUAUUUAAUGGUCCUUUUUGAGACACAUCUGAACUAUAGCUAGCUACACCACCGCUUUUUACCUGAAAUUGUCCUUAUAUAUAUUGCCACUGUCAUAUACCCGAGUCUCCACCGACAGAGGUGUGGGCGGAGCUAAUAGCCUAUAUGCUGAUUCGAGCAAACUUGAUGGAUUUUUAUAACAAUAUAUUUGUGUUAAUAAAGUUAAAAUUCUAGUUUCACUACUCACGAGGAGAGAUGUGUGAUGGUAAAAGAGUCACGAGGGCUUAUAUCCUUUAUCAGACACAUGUAAUUGCAUUGUAUUAUUUGAUGGGCUUGGGGUGAUUUAGCACUAUAAAGUUUGGAUGUAAAUUAAAUAACCAAUUCGAGGCGCGUUAUGAAAGACAUGGUCUUCUUAUACGUCCCAUCCUGGUGCAAAUCUACUCUCAAAAUAUAACAAAACAUUAAUCAACCGUUUUCGCUAGCAUUUGAUCGUAGAUUUCGGGUUAUAUUUUGAAAUUUGCCUUCUAAUAUUUAUUUGGCCAUAAAUUAUAAAUCAUAGUUUUGAAAAUUUAUUUUAAAAAAAGAAUUCAAGUUAACUAAUCCAGAUCAGACACUUCACUUUCACUUAGUAAAGUUCAAUUCCAAAUAAAAUGCAAGUCCAAACGUAAUUUUAAAUUCCAAAAAUUCAAUUUUCAAGUUUCAACUUUAACAUUUAUAACCAAAUGGACACACUCAAAUAAAAGAUCAAAAGAACUACUAAAUUUCUCAAUUGUUUUUGUAGAAAUCUUUAGUAAAUAUUGAAUAAAUUAUGUUAUAGAUAAUAUUUCAGAUGGACACUCAAUUAAAAGUUUUUUUUCUCAUAAAUAAUCACUCAAUUAAGGAUUUUUCAUUUAGAAAAUCACUUUUACUUUCUUUUAUAACCUCAAAUUUAUUAAAAACUUAAUGAUUACGUUACCUUAAAACUAUUUGAGUAUACUAUACAUAUGUAGUAAUGAAGUCAAUAAAUGUAGAAAUAUCCAUCCAUGUAUGGUUAAAUGAACACAAAUGUGGCAGUAAAACAUUUGACUAAUAAAGAUAGGAAAAAUUAGUAAUCAAGUCAUAAUACCUAACAUAAUUAGUCAAAACAAUAACACUUUAAAAUAUUUAUUUAAAAUGUCAGAAUGGCAAUAUUUUAGAAAAUAAUUUGUAUUCAGAUUUUAUUAUUUAAAUUUCUUUUUAUUUAUCAAAACAGUCCUAUAUUGGACCAAAUUCUAAACCAAUAACCGUUUAAAAGAAAAAAUAAUUACACCACUACCCAUUACCCUUAUUUCCCCACCUUUCACGUUUUCUUUCCCCCACCUUUCACGUUUUCCAGCUUCUCUUUCUUCAAGGUUCUCACAAAUUGUUCAACAAAAUCUCUAUUUUAAUUCAAGAAAUUUCUCGAUUGUUAAACGAAAUCUCUAUAUUAAUUCAAGAAAUUUCUCGAUUAGCAAAGGUAAUUCCAUUAUUUACUGAGAUUUAUUUUGAUUUUUUUUUUAAAAAUCACCGAUUAUGGUGUAUAUUUCGAAUUGUAUAUAUUACGGAUUUUCAGUCAAUAUUUUCAAUUUUUAUAUGAUUUUGUUUAGAUAUUCAUCAAAUAUUUAUGUAUUUCAGAUUUUUAGUCUUUUAAACAAUUUUUUUCAAAUUUUUUUUUUGUGAUUUGUUUUAAUUUUUCAGAUUUAGUAGAAUCUAAAAAUUCAUUUAUAUGUUUAUUUUGUUUGAUUUUUAAUACAUUUAUAUUUGAUAAUAUCGAAAUUUGCUUUUAGGGUUUUAGAUUUUGGGAAAAGCAUCUGAUUGUCUACAAUGACUGAAUCAAUCAAAAUUACUAGAGGUAUACCAAAUAAUAUUCAAAAUUUUGGGGAAUUUUCCUCAUUUGAUUUGUGUAUUACCCAAGUUUUGGAGAAUUUCCCUAAAUUUUGUGGGAAUUUUCCUCAUGACUGUAUUAGUAAGACAUUUUUUGUAUUUUAAUCAUAACUAUAUUAGUAUGACAUUUUUUGUAAGACAUUUUUUGUAUUUAUGUGUAUACUCUCUGCAGUUUUAAUCAUAAUUGUAUUAGGAAGACAUAUUUUUGUAUUUUAUUUUCUUAAAGCAAUAUAAGUUUGAUGAAACCAUAAUAUAUAAAAUUGUGAUGAAUACAUUAUAAGAAGGGAAAUACAAACUUAUUUGGUAUUCAUUUGACGUUUGGAAUACAAAAUGAUAUUGAAAUACAUCCUGAUUUUUGGAAUACAAACUGAUAUUGAAAUACAUCCUGAUUUUUGGAAUAUAAACUGAUCCAGAGAAAUAGUAACUACAAUUUUAAAGUGAAAUUAUAAUAAUAUAACAAGAUUGAAUAUUGAAAUAUAAAUACAAUUUAGUUUGAAUACAACUUAUUCUAUGUUUUAUGUUUUCACCAAAAAUGUAUUUUCAAUAUCAUUUUAUUUUACUACUAAUUUGUAUUUAUAUUUUUUUUUCUUAAACUAGAAUGCCAAAAGAGUUGUAUUCAUUAUAAUUCUAUACCAAUAAUAUUUUGUAUUUUAAGUUAUACAUAUCUUUAGGUAUAUAGAUUGUAUUCCAUUUUUUAUAUAAUUUAAAUUUGUGACUCAUAUAAUUUUUCAAUUACACUUUAAAGUAAUUUACACGUUAAAUACACAGAAAUAAAAUAAAUUCAUAACAUGAAUAUGAAUACAUUUCGGUUGAACACAUAUUCAAAGAAUUCCAAACAAGUAAAAUAUAUAAAACAGAGGGCAUUAGAAAUUGGGAAACAAUUCCACUCUAAUAAGAUAUAAAAUUCAAGCAUCAUGAACUAAACAAUACGCGGUCCAUUCCUACACGAACACCUAUUGUGCCCCUUAAAUCCACAAGUACUGCAAGAAUUCUUGCUCUUCUUCCCAUAUAGCUCGUUGUACGCCUUGUCACUUCUUGGAUGGACUUCCAGGUAGCUAGCUUCAAAAAGAAAAAAUAUAGAACACACACUCAAUACAUACUGAUCUGUAUUUACAUACAAAGAUUUCACCUUUUAGCUCAACUACAACAAAUUGAAUCCAAUAUUUAAUUGUAUCCAGAACUUACUACAAGGCAACAAAUAUUGAUAUACAAUUCUUAAUUACUUUAUGAUUUUAAUCCCUAGUUGUACUCUGUUCAGUAUAUCACAUAAUUUUUAUGACUCUAUCCCUAUAUUGUUACUAUUUACAUUAACUUAAUGGGAUAUACUAUAUGCAUUAAAAAAAACAGCUUCCAAACUAAAAAAAACAAACAAUUUCAUUCGUUCUACAUCAUAAUUUGGAUACAAAACAUCCAAAAAAAAUGGGAUACGAAAAUCUCAUAUUGUUACGAUUUACAUUAACAUAAUGUGAUACAAAAAUAUUGUAUGCAUUCAAAUAAAAAGAAAACUGCUACGAAACUAAAAAAAAAUCAAGCACUUUCAAUCGUUCUACAUCAUAGUUUGGAUACAAACAAUCCAAAAAAGCUAAAAAUAUCAAACCAUACAAAAAUUUCACCGAUUUCUUCAAAAAAAAAAAUCAACCCACUAUUAUAGUCGAGAUAUACGAAUAUAUCAUCCAAACAAAUAAAAUAAUCAACAAAAAUAAAAAUACCUGAUGUCGAAAUUUCUUGAAUUCAAUGGAACUGACGAAAUUAUAGUCGUGAAUUUUGAAAACCUCUGUUUCAAGAAUAUGCCGAAUUCAGCUCGAAGAAGCUUUGAAAAUUAUCAAUUGAAUUAUUCGGAAGACAAAACUAUUUUUUGCAAAAAAAUAAUUUGGAAUUCUUAAGAACAAGGCAAAAAAAUGCUCGAAAGAAAAAAUGGCAACAUAUGCUCUUUCAAAACGUAACUAAUUUAUAUUUAAAAUCUUUUUUCCCUUUUUGAAAUUUUCUGUUCCAUGAUUUUCUCUAUUAUGUUAUUAAUUAUUUGUAUUCUUUCAAAUUAAUCAAAAUAAAAUAAAUACAUAACUCAUCCCUUAACAAACUAAAAUAUUGUCAUUUUAAAUAAAUAGUGAAACUAUUGCUAAGGAGUCCCACUAAAAGCUAAAAUAUUGUUGUUUUGAAAUUUUUUCCAGAAAGAUAUGAACAACUUUCAAAUAUAGUAAACAUAAAAAUCAUAUUUGUAUGCUAUAGUUAUAGUUUGCAUAAUUGCGCUCCAUAACAAAUUUUAUGUUUGCUAUGGAGCUUUUUGAUUUUGUAUAAUUUUGCUACAAACAUUCUAAUUUUAUACAAAUUUGUUCAGUUUUGUAUAAAUUCAUUUAUACAUUUGUAAUUUGUAUAAUAAGAUUUGUAUUUAUAUAAUUAUAAGUGUAUAAGAUGAAAAUAUAUGUAUUUAUAUUUGUAUAUACAUUUUUCUCUCGCUUUAUACAAACACAAACACAUUUUUAUAUCGAAAUGUAUAAAAUGACUAAUUGUAUACCAAAAAUGGCUAAUUAUAUACCGAAUCGAAUGACAAAAAAAGAAAAUAUUUGCUGCGAAGUACAAUUAAAAUAAACUAUGCCUAUAACAUUUAAUUUAAAUUAAUAAUUUGAUAUUUUAUACAAUUUUCCCAAAAGAUAUUGAGCAAACCUCUUGUUUUUCCAACAGUAGGAGAAAGUGUGAUAUGUCUGCCAUGGUAGGGGACCAAUCCCAUAUAUUUCACAGCCAUUUUGGUUUAUUGGACAGAAAAACAGUGGAAUCAUAAUAGAUGUUUGUUUGACCUUAACUUGUCAAAGAUAUAAAAAAAUAAAUAUUACUCUGAUUCCUCUAUCUCAAUUUAUAUAAUUUUUUUUAUUUUUUGAGUAUUAAAUCGUUUAAGUUUGAUUAAAAAAUUUAAGUAUGAAAUCUUCAAUUUUUUGAAAUGAAAUUUAUAUAUUUGUAAACUACAUAAAAAGUACUAUAAGUCACAAUAAUUGAUAAUUUAAAAUAUUUAAAAGAUCUAUGAAAAAUUUACAAUAAAAGAUAGAUUUAUUUAGAUCUUGAUAUAUAAAAGUGUCACAUAAAAUGAGACGGAGGAAAUAAUAGAUAUUGUUUUAACGUCAUUUGAAUGCAACUUCCACUAAAUUGUAGGUUAGUUACUAUUUACUUACGUAGUACAGUUAGCUAGCUAGCUACUUUCCUUUUAGUACCCAAAAGCACAGGCCAAGUUUCACUCUUUCUGACAAUUCCUAUCCCCACUUAGCAAGUACUACUAUUCUUUUUCUUUUAGUUUUUUUUAUUUGGUAUUCGAUAUUCAUAUUAGAGUCUGGUUAAUUUAAAUUUGUAUGGUGUAAGACUCAUUCGAAGGGAAAACUAAAGAUUUUUUUCAUAUUCAAAACUUAAACUUGAGAUUCCUAGUUAAAGGAGUAGUCUUAUCUACUGUUGAUGAUCUUAGCUUAUAUUAUUUACCUACAUGCAUGCUUGCUUCAGUUUACUGUACCAAUAAUUUGUUAAAUUUGGUCCCCAAAAUGUUGAUUUUGUGGCCAUUGCAAUUUAGACUUUGAAUAAUUGAAAUAAAAUACAGAAACUUGUAUAAAAGUGUAUUACACAUCUCUAGACUAGCUAUAAUGACUAAUAAAUUUAUCUUUUUUUUUUGUAAUUUUCAAUAGCAAUUCUUGCUCAAAACCCAAUCAAAAUCUCCACAAACGACUUCAAAUUGUAUAGACUAUUUCCAACAAAUAUAUAACAAUAUGCACUCGAACUUUUUCACAAAAAUUAUGUUCGAAAUCCUAAUGACCACUUCUUUAAGCUUGUUCAAUAAUAAUGAGCUACCUUUCUAAUUUGAUUUUCAUGAUCACCCAAAGUCUUACAAAAUCAAUACUUAACCACCAUUUGAACUCAAACACAACAACCUAUCUAAUCGAUACUCUCAACUAACAAACAAUAUGACUUAUAAUUUUCAGAUUCAACUUUGACGAUAUGAACUCGAAAAUUUCAACAAUAGAGGAAAUAUGAUAUAGUAGUUUAUAAUUUGUAAUAAAGUGGGAAGUGGCCUAUAUCGAGUAAGAAAGGUAGUUUAUCAACAGAGGUAAUUCCCACAAAAUACAAUUUUUCCUUCGCACGAAAUUCUAGAUUCGUCACUGAAAUAAAGCGAUAAGAAUUAGCAUAUUGGGUUGCCCCACAAUGAUCAACACGAGAUUUUUUGAGACAAUUUGAAAUCAGUACAUUUUGAUUGAUUUUGAAAUUUGACCCCAAAUAAGUUAUCCAUUGAUACUAGGAGUGGAGUUCAAAUAUAGAGAGCAAUUGUAUGUAUAGUCUCUUUGAUAAUCAUGGCCAUUUGUUAAAAGAUUUCAAUCCGCUACUCAUUAACAAGCUAAGAUUCAAUAUCAACUUGCAUUUUCUAGUGGAAAAAGUGUAUAUAUUAUAGUGUCUAUAAAUGGUUAUUGGAUUUAGUAGGGGUGUACAAAAUUGAAUCAAACCGUAAAUCGAGUCAACCCGAAAAAAAACUCGACUAGUGGUUUGGUUUUGAGAAAAAAAAACCCGACUAUAUUUGGGUUGGUUUGGUUUUAACUAAAAAAAACCAACCCNNNNNNNNNNNNNNNNNNNNNNNNNNNNNNNNNNNNNNNNNNNNNNNNNNNNNNNNNNNNNNNNNNNNNNNNNNNNNNNNNNNNNNNNNNNNNNNNNNNNNNNNNNNNNNNNNNNNNNNNNNNNNNNNNNNNNNNNNNNNNNNNNNNNNNNNNNNNNNNNNNNNNNNNNNNNNNNNNNNNNNNNNNNNNNNNNNNNNNNNNNNNNNNNNNNNNNNNNNNNNNNNNNNNNNNNNNNNNNNNNNNNNNNNNNNAAAUACAUAAUCUAAUUUUAAUUUCCUUUAAUAUUUAGUCAUGUAACUAAUACUUAUUAAACUUAAUUUUAGCAUGAUUUAGUACUUUUAAAUUAUGAUCAUUUUCAUUAUGAUUUGUUAAUUUGUAAUAUUUGUUUUACGCGAUUUCAUUAUUAUUAUUAUUAUUUUUGUUGGAUAUUUUAGUGUCAUUAAUCAUAUCAUAUUGUGUUAUAUUUUUAAGAAACAUCUUAGAUAGUUGUAUUUUGGUAGGACUAAAGAAAUAUUUGAAGUACAAGUAAAUUAUAUGUUUGUAUGAAUACUUUACCAGAAAAACCCUAAACAACCCGAAAAACCGAAAAAUCCGAAAAAACCCGAGGUUGAAAAACCCGAGUUUUAUUGGUUUGAUUUGGUUUAUGAAUUUAAAAAUCCGACACAAAUGGUUUGGUUUGAUAUUUGAAAAACCCGAACCAAUCCGGCCAUGUACACCCCUAGGAUUUAGUUUGUAUCAUGCCCAUAUGGGUCCUAGUGCCCAUUUUGGGUGUGUUUGGCAGGAAGGAAACUAAAAUGUUUGCUAUGAAAAAUGAAUGAAUUUCUUAUUUUAUUUUUUAAUGUUUUGAUACGUAAAUAUUUUUUUUUUUUUUGUUUCAGCAUUUAUAUAUAAUUUGAAAAACACUAAGGUGGUUGGGAUGGUGUGGGUAGUGGGAGUUUGGGCGUGACGAACAGUGGUAAAGCCAAAAUUUUCAUCAAGGGGUUCAAAAUCUGAAGAGUAAACACACAAACUAGCUGAAGGGGGUUCAACAUUUAUUAUAUAUACAUAAAAAAAUAUUUUAUCCAUGUAUAAAUAGUAUAAUUUUCUGUCGAACCCUGAACUCAAGGUGGGUCCACCCCUGGUGACGAAGGUUGGAAUGAUCAAGAGAUAGGGAUUAGAUGCCGUUGGGAUGAAGAGGAGACAAUAAACUUGAAAGACUAUUUAUGAAAUCUAUUUUCUCUACUCAUACUAAAAAGCCAUUUUUCUUAUUAUUUUUAAAAAAAAUUAUUUUUUCAGGAAAAAAUAUUUCGACCAUCCCAAUUAUCUCUUGAAAAUGUAAUUAUGGUUUUCUAAGAGAUAAAUUGGGUGGGGAACAGAAAAUUUGGCAAAUAAAGCAGCUAAGAAAAAUAUAUACUAUAAGGUAGUAUUACUAAUUUCACUUUCCUAAAAUGUGUAACACUGUUCACAUUUAUUGGAGCAAAGUUGAAAAAGUGACAAUCUCCACAUAUUCAGGGAAUUGUUUAAUUGCCUAAGAUUUUUACAUCAACGACAACGAACAGUUGAUAUAUGUAUUUUAUGUACGUUUUAUCACUUAACAUGCAUGUUGUUACAUCAUUAUAUUACUUAAUCGUGAUUAAAUGACGUACGUGUACAUACGUAUUUGGUAUAAAUAACAAAUGUAUAAUCUAUUCAAUCUCAGAAGGAUUUUUUAAUAAACAUUUGAUUUAUUUUUAGGUUCGACUAAUUCAAAUUUUCACCACAAAAUCUCAUUUUGUGAGGUAAAACAUUCUCUACUAAAGACAAUUUUAUACUCGUAACUCAAACCUAAAAUCUCUCACCAGAAAAUCUCAUUUGACUAAUUUGAAUUCUCACUAGAAAGUCUCAUUUUGUGAGGUAAAAUACUCUGUACCAAAGAUAACUUUAUACUCGUACCUCUAAUUAAAAAUAAAUAAAUAUUUAUCACUUCACCGUAACUUAAAAAAACACAAAAUCAUCUCUAUUUACUCUUUAAAAAGAAUCUUUCAGUAUCCCUCUUUGUAACCUCUGACCCGUCUAUUGGCAGACCAAUUUUAGUGUCAUACAAUGACAAUACAUUCUCUUGAAGUAAGUGUAAGGGGUUGGUGGGGUGGGGGAUGUAAAAAGAAAAAAUACAAGAAAAGGGGGAAUUAACGAUGACUCAUUGCAAUAAUAAAUAAAUAUUGGGAUAUUUUUAAAAAUUAUACAUUACAUCACAAAAUAUUAUAUCAAUGUAGUCAUAUUUUUAGUUUAUACAUGCAUAACUAACUUGCUUUUGCAAUAGAGUAGUAUUUAUACACAUGAUAUACAAAAUUAUACACAACUUUAUACAUUUAGUCAUGAAGACAAUGCAUUAAUCUUGUAUAAAUAUGUAUAAUAAUAAUGUAUAAGAAAUGGUUAUACUAUAUGUUUACAUAAUGAUACAAAAUUAUUGAAUUUUGCCUACUAUAAACUUCAACCCACAAAAAUGAAAAAAAAUCCACCAAAUUAUUACUCAAAUAAAAAUUCGAAAUAUGUCCUUCGGAUGGUUCAGUUGGUUUGGACUUUGGAGGGUGGUUAUCCACACAGAUGAUUCAGGAUUGAUCCCCACUCAAUGCCUUUUGAGUUGAGCUUGUUGUGCGAUUUAUAUCCUCUGUGUUGUUUGCAGGCUAUUACACAGUGAGAGGUUUAUUCGAUGCGCACAAAGUGCUCACCCGAAGGACAGAAGCUGUGACAGAGAUUGUAACAACUACGGAUUAUCCUGGUGUUCUAAAAAAAAAUCAAAAUACUUAAUAAUAUCGGAUCAUAUUUUUUUUAAAAACGUGUUAUGUUGUUAUACUAAUCUAUUAAAUGAAAAAAAGGUAUAUAUAUAUAUAUAUAUAUAUAUAUAUAUAUAUAUAUAUAUGGUGAUAUAUGGUGUUCUUUGUCUAUUGGAAAAUCAACUUUUAUGUAUCCAAAAAGAGCUAAAAGUUGUUGGACACGUCAUUGAAGGUGCCACACAAUUUUUAAUGCCCAAAGAAGUCUUAAUUUGGGGUGAAAAACUUCAAAGGAAAAAUUAGUUAGAUAGUACCUUUUAAUAAAUAAUUACUGAUUUUAGCGAUAUUUUUUAUUUAUUAUCAUUUAUAGCAAUACAUAGCAAUAUUAUGUUAAAUCUGCAAUAUGUAUUAAAAGUAAAUUAGGUAUGCAAUAUAUAUGUAUUAUAACUGGUUUUUUUAAAUAUAUUAUGCUUGUUUGGUAAGAAAUUGACACAAUUGUAUUAUAAAUGUAUUAAAAUGUGUGAUAAAUGUAUUAUCUAUCAAUAAAACUUGUAUUAUAUGUGAAUAAUAAACUGUUCUUUGUAAUAUAUAUUAAAACUGUAUUAUAAAUACAGAAAAGGGUCAAAAUUGCCUCUGAACUAUGCGAAAUAGUACACUUAUACCCUCCAUUACAUUGUAUUAUAUGUGAAUAAUAAACUGUUCUUUGUAAUAUAUAUUAAAACUGUAUUAUAAAUACAGAAAAGGGUCAAAAUUGCCUCUGAACUAUGCGAAAUAGUACACUUAUACCCUCCAUUACAUUUUUGGGAUAAAAAAUACCCCCGCCGUUAUCCCAGGAGACCACAAAUACCCUCAAGAGUUAACACCCCAAUUUUUUAGUGACGUGGCAAGCCACGUGGGACUAAUCCCUCCACCUAAGCUUUGCCAACUAAGAUUCACUACAAAAGACUUGACCUUUAGUGGCGACAAAGUCGCCACAAAUUUCCAAAAUAAUUGCCGCUAAAGGUUGAGUGACUUUUAGUGGCGACUAAGGCUCCAACAACCAUUCGCUAGUAAAACCUAUUUUUUCAACAAAAAAAUAUGAUAAUUAAUUUUCGAUUGCAACCUAAUUUUCUAAAAUAAAUAACUUGCAAUAUUAAUAUUAAAAACAUACAAUAUUAUUACGAAAAACCAUCAAAAUUACUUCUCGAUUCAAAUCUCCUACUAUAUAAUGCAUCAUUGUACAUUUUAUACAUUUACAUAUGACAUAAAAAUAAAACAUACAGUGUCUUCAAACUCCUACUUAAUCAAUAUCAUUUUUGUUUUUAAAAACUAAUGAAAAAAAAACACAAAAUUAGAAUUAAUGUUAAAAACUUUUAGUGACGAUUUUCUGGGCUUUUGUGGCGAAUGUUGUUGCCACUAAAGGUCUAGUUCUUUGUAGUGAAUCCUAGUUGGCAACGCUAGGUGGAAGGAUUAGUCCCACGUGGCUUGCCACGUCAAUAAAAAUUUGGGGUGUUAACUCUUGAGGGUAUUUGUGGUCUCUUAGGAUAACAGUAGGGGCAUUUUUUAUCCCAAAAUAUAACAAAGGGUAUAAGUGAUCUAUUUCACAUAGUUCAGGGGCAAUUUUGAUCCUUUUUCGAAUAUAUUACAAGUGAUUUAGUGAAAAAAAAUGUUAUUGCUAUAAUGGUAAAUAUUUUUUCAAUGCAGUAUACUUAUAUAAGUUUCCCAAAUUUUAAUGGGUUGAGUUAUAUACAAAACUGUGUGUUUAUGAAAUUUUAUGUCAUUGAUAUAAUUAGAUCGAAAAGCUUCUAAGAAAGUCAGCCGAAUAAAAUAGGGUCUUGCUUAAUUGUGAAAGAAGGAAUUUUGGUUAAAACGUAGAUAUUGUACCACAAGAAUUGUUACUGACAUUUUACACCUAUAACUUUAAAGAUGAGCCACUAAUAAUCCAACGCCUAAUAAAAGUAGAGAAAAUUUUAGAAAUAGCAAACAUAAUACACAUAAUAAGGCUCUAUAGCUAUAGUUUCAAUAAUUGUGCUCUAUAAUAAUAGUUUCAUUUGCUAUGGAGGCUGCGGUUUGUAUAUUUCUGUCCGUUUGUUUAUUUCGCUUGUGAAUAUACCACUAGGGUAAGUAUAUACAAAUUAUGUAUUUAGACAUUUAGGAAUUUUUUAGAACUCCAUUUGUAUAUUUCAUUUGACAAUAUACAAAGAUGGUAAUUUAUUAUGAUUUUUUCAUAAAUCGUAUACAAAUAACUAGGAUAAGCAUAUACAAAAUUCUGAAUUUGUACAAUCAGAAACCAAAUUAUACAAAUCAGGCAAAUAAGAAUAAUCGGAGAAAUCGUAGCCACAAAUUACAAUGUUCUUAAACUAUAGCUAUAGUACCUAAUAUAUAUAGGCUAAAUGUUUGCUAUUCUGCAUAAUUUUUCCAUAAAAGUACUAUCAGAAACGAAAAUAUACUAGAUAGGUGUGUACAUGACCAGGUGGAUUUGAUUCUUUUUUUAAAUAUCGUGUCAAAUCAUUUGUGUAAAAUUUUUAAAUUUAUAAAAUCAAACCAAACUAAUACAACUCAAUUUUUUUAACCUCAGAUUUUUUCAGAUUUGUGUCAUUAAAAAGUCAUAACGAAAAUGAUCAUAAUUUAAAAGUGGUAAAUCAUUAUAACAAGUCUAACAAGUAUUAAUUACAUGAUUAAACAUUAAAGAAGAAUUAAAUUAGCUUAUGUAUUUUAAAUGUCUAAACCAAUGUAAAACUAAAGAACAAAUAUUUAACAUUAUUGUCAUUUUUAGUGUUGAAUUUUUUAUUUUUUUAGCAUUAGUAUUGAUUUGAUUUUGAUUUGGGCUUUAUUAGAGUUACUAAUAUGAAAAGUUACCUAAAUACACAACUUAUUUUACCAUAUUUUUUGAAUUCCCUAUCAUUUGGAAAAUUUAUAAAAAUUUCUACUCUCUCCUAUUCUCAAAUACAUCAAUUUACGCGAUGUAUCGAUCGGAUACUGUCACUCCCUGAGCCUACACCCUAGACGUGGUCGGCACUCGAGAACUAUUGUUGGCUCCAAGCGAACCUUUGGCCUGACUCAACUCUCAGCGGAAGACUUACUCAUCAAUUAAUUAACUCAAAACAUAAUUUUACUCAUAGUCUUUAAAAGAAAUAACUUAUAAUUUAUCAGAACAAUCACUGGCCAAUGAACAACUCAAGUCUUAAACAUUAACAAUAGAAAUGAAAGGAUUCCUCAACUACUACUGUUUAUGAAGCCUCUACUAACUGAGAUGAACGUCGGGACAAGAUCCAUGACAUUCUAAUAAACAAAGCUGAAAAUGUAAACUCAAUGUGAAACCCUCUGGAAAGCAAGGAGGCUCACCAACUCUAGCUGAAACACGAUUGGAUCAACGGAGCGCCGGUUGAUGAUCCUGAUUACCUGUAUCUGCGUCAUAAAAUGAUGCAAACCAAAUGUCGUCAUUGAAUGUACGAGCAUGUAAGGGGAACUCUAAAGCAUAGACAUAUAAUCUUGAACUGGAAGGAAAGGAACAUACUUACCUCACCUCAACUCAACUCAACCUCAACUCAAGGAAUACUCAAAGAUACUCAAAAUUUACUCAAACUCAGGGAUGUUCAACUCAGUUCAAUAUAAAACGGUAAUAAAAAUGCAUUAUAAAGAAAGCUUUUAAAACCGUAGAUAAUAACUCAAAGUAUUUAAAAAUACAAUAAUAACUCAAUUUGUAUAUAAAGAUACAAAAUAACUCAAUCUGAGAGAUUCUCUAACCGACAACCAUCGCUAUGAGCUAUGUGAUGAUACAACUUCUCGUCCACGCUACCAGAAUUGUCUUAUACCUUGCCGGAGUAUAAGACAUCCUCAACUUAGGGGAUCCACUAAGCUAUGCUUAAAAAGCAAUAAGGAAUCAUCUAAAAAAUAUGAUAUUUUCUACCCAUGUUGGCUACAUGGUUUAUGAAGACUUUGAGUUGUUUGAACUCAUCCUCAUAUCGGUGCUCAAUACUACUCCCAAAAUAUACUCAACUCAUAUGUUUAAAACCAUUUCCUCAUCCUCAAACUUUGAGAUUAUUACUCAAAAGAUUUCUCUUAAAAGAGAUAGUACUCAAAACUCCACAUAACUCAUUUGGAAAUCAAAGUUUCCUCCUUAUUUUAAAUGUAAAAACAUUUACUCUUGGAAUACUUAGUUCCCAUAUAUUCAUUUUGAAAAAUGAAAUUCAACUCUCCUCAUCCUCAUACUCAAGUCUUAAAACAAGUUUUAAAAGAUUGUAAAAGACUCUUCAACAUGACUCGAAAGAACUCUCAAGACUUUACUCUUAACUCUACCUUGAAUUUAAAUUAUGAAUUCAAGGGUUAUGAUUCAUGUUAUGAAUGAUCUCUCGAUAUUUAGAUGUAGUUUAGAAUGGUUAGAAUCAGAAAGGAGUGAAGGUAUCCUUUAAAAGAACUCAGACAAGCCAACCGACGGAAAAAAUGAGUGGGGGCAGGUGACCCUGGCGUCAACCUUUAAACUAUAGAACAUAUUUUCUGGCGCACUGCUGGGGCGGCGCGCCAGCCCUUACCCAGAACUUUUCGAUGAAUUUUCUUCUUCGAUUUUAGGCCCGAAUUCACCUAGAAUCGAAUGGUUUGUUUCAAACUCUGUUAGAUUCGUUUAACCAACUUAAUUACAUGAAAGUACACUCGAAAACAACCCUCAAACUCCUAACAUUCAUCUCAAAAAUUUAUCAAACCUCAUUAAUCAAAGAACGAAACUCAAACUUACUCAUCAAGAAUUCAAUAUACCCAAACUUGUAGAUGAAAUUCGUGAAAGAAACUCAUGAUUGGUGUGUAGGUGAACGAACCCAUAACUAUGAAAGCUUACAUACCUCGAUUUGACGAAACAAAUUCUCAAUUCGAACGAAAUCUUGAUCGUUCUUCCUUUUCUCCUAUUUUCUCCUCUUGAACUCUCUUCUAAAACCCUAAGCGUAAUUUAGAAUUGUGAAAACUGACCCAAAUCAGUUUAGACCCCUAAAGUAUUACUAAAAACAUUUAAAGCUGAUGGGGGUAAGGAAAAUACCAAAAUACCCCUCAUUAAUUCGGGUAAAUUUCCUUAACUGAACUUGAUGACUUCAAACAGGCAUAUCUCCCUCAUUCGAACUCAAAAUCUAACAAACUCGAUGGCGUUGGAAAGAAGAUUCCAAGACCUUUCAUUUGAUAUCGUAUGGGCCACCUAACUCAUCCUUUACUCAAAGUUAUGGUUGUUUGAAGUUGACCAAAAACUCACAACUUAAGCAUAACUUGAUAAAUUCUCAAAUUAGCUCUUUCCAAAUUAGUUCUGGCUAAACUUAGUUCUUUCUAAGGCGGGAUGCUAUAGAUACAUCCUUUACAUGAUGUAUGGGGACGUGCUCGAUGUAUUGAGUCGUUGAGUGAUGUAUUCGAAAUCGAGACACGAUGAAUCGGGACGUUGAGCGCUGUAUUCGGAACUAUAGGAUGCGAUGUAUCAAAAUAUUUUGGGACAUAUUCGGAUUCCACCAAAUUUAAGAAAUUUUUGUAAUUUGAAAAGGAGUAGAGAUAGGAUGUAAUUAACUCUUAACACUGGUCGUUUGGUGUGAUGGAUAAGGGGAAUUAAUCCCCAGAUAAUUUUUAAGUAGCCUCUAAUCCUUUGUUUGGUUGCAUAGCUUGGGAAUAACUUAUCCCAGGAUUAAUAAUUAGUAUUGGGAUAAGUUAUCCCUCCCUUUGGGUGGUAUAGUAAUUCCGAGAUAACUUAUCCCGGAAUAAAAUACAUAAAUGACAAAUAUAUCCCUUUAAACUCUAUUUAUACCCCACUUUUCACAUUUAUGUAUAACUAUUUUUAAAAGUCUUCAACCACCUUAAUCUUAAAUAAUUCUUUUACAAAAAAAAGUUAUUACUAAAAAUAAAUUAUGUAAUACAAAAUUAUAGUACAAAUCUUAUUAUAAAUUUGAUUUUUCACCAAACAAAAAUAUUAGCACAUGUCCUCCGGAUUCCCCCCACCCCCACCCUCCCUACAUUAUUUUUUGAUACCAUGUAUAAUAAUAUUCACUACUCAUUAUUUUUAUGAUAAUUCUUCAUAUUUUUCUAUUAAGAUAUUACACUAUAUAAAUAUAAUUUUUAUUUAUAAAUUUAUUUGACUAAUUCUUAUGUUUAUUUAUAUUUUGAUUUCUCAUAAAUCCUCUUUUACUUUAACAAACGCAAGAUGGAAAUUCUAUUUUAAGCUAAAUAAGAAAAUAGUUUUAUUUUUAAAUACAUACGGCACCAUUGUGGGAGUGCACACACAAAAUUAUUUAAGCUAAAUAAGAGGAAAUUAUUUUAAAAAAUGAAUAAUUAAAGCUCGCAAAGAAUAUAAAAAAAAAAAAACUAAAUAAAGUGAAGAGUAAUUUUGUAAACAAACAACUUGUUCUUAAAAUUUAUGCAAUGCAUAUUAUUUUGAAUACAACAAACCAACACUCAAUAAUAAAUAAUCACAACAUAACUUAUCCCAUCAUAACUUGUUUUCAAACCAAAUGACCCCUGAGAGUUGUGUAAAAUUCUCUUACUAAUAUCUAUGAAUUACAACUUUUAUGGGACCAUUCCAAAUUCUAAGUCUCAAAAACUUGAAAUAAUAUGUUAAAAGAUAAAAAUAUGAAACAAUAUAAGAAAUAUUUAGAAAUUAUAUCAAAGUAAAUACUUUUAUAUAUAAAAUAAAUUUUAAAAAUUAUAUAUAUAAUUUCGGAUUAGUUUGGUUUCAACUGACUUUCUUUAUAGUUAAAAUCAAACCAAUCCAAGUAUAGUCUGAAUUUUUUUUCUAUACCAAAUCAAGUCAAACCAAACCAUUAGUCAAUUUUUGUUUUUGUCAAUUUAACUAAAUUUGCAGUUUAAUUCAAUUUUCGAUUCUAUUUUGUACAUCCUAAUACUACUAGACAUCUUUCAUGCUUUGGACGAUGUUAACUUUGAUCGAGCGAAUAAAGAAGAUCACUCGGCCUCGUUAAAAAGACUGAAUUUGUUGGUUAUUUGCUAAAGAAAUUGUCAUUUGUUUAGUUCGUAUUUAUGUAAGUCUUUAUAUUUGUUGGUUUUUUUCAUUUUUGGGCUGAUGGUAAAGAUCAAUUACGAUCGCCAACCAAAAUAUACAAAAACUUAUACAGUAGUCAUGUCAUAUAUAUUAUGGGAUUUUUUUUUUCUAGUUAGAACGGUUUGGUACAUAUAUUCAUAUUUAUGAUAUGCAUGUUUAUAUUUGAUAUAUAAAAUAUAUACAUUUGCCAGCUAUUAUUUUUCGAGGAGAGAGGCAAAUCCUUUUAUUUGUCCUAAGAAGACUAGUUAUUUAUAAUAUAUACAAAACAUAUCUAUUUAUGUUAUUUUAAAAGCAUAAAGGUCCUUGCAAAUGCAGAUUGAACUUUUUUGUCUUUCAUUAAAAAAAAUUAUAAUAAAAAAAAUUGUUAUUUACUAUUUUCUCAAAUAAUUGUCAUUUAAUUAUUAUCCUAACAUUUAGAAGCUUGAAAUCAAAUCUUUACUUCUUCUUUUUUAUAAUAGGUAAGAAUUCUUAAUAUUUAAUACUUUAAAAUUAACUAAAAUUUUAUUUCUUAAAUUUUUAAUUAUUUGAACCAUAUAAAAUGUCCUAACAUUUAAGAUUUUAAAAUUAAUAUUUUCACCUUAUAUAAUUCUUACUUAUAUUAUGGAAAUUAAAAUAAAUAAAUAAAUUAAAAUAUGAAAAAAAGAGGUUCACAUUAUAAGAAAUAAUUUUCAACCUUUUUAUAUGAAUAUUUAUGGUUUAGAUUGAUAUAACAUUGUUUUGACAUCUAUAGCUACUUUUGAAUAACCUUGUUCUUUUUCUAUAUAGUUCUAUUGAUUGAAUAAAACACGUACACUAAAUGAGUACGCCUAUCAUGACUUGUUUCCUUGCAUAUUACACAUUGCUGAUUGUAUUUAGCUUCUCCAACAUCGAUCUGGUUGUGGUUUCGACGAGUUCGACACAAAUAACUUAUAUUAGCAAUUCUAGCAAAUGGUUUUAAAGAGCGAGAUGGUGGUUUUUGUUGUUCCCGCGAAGCGAAGAUCAUUCGCUUGGCGAAUAAAGUGGGUCACCCUCUUUUUGGCUUCGUCUUCGAUCUCUCUUCGCAACGCAUUUUAAGGGCUAAGACUUUCUCUCGACAUCUUUCUUUUAUUUAAGUCAUUGAUCUCAUAUCUAUAAGCAUUUUUUAUUGUUUCUUCAACAACUACUUGUAAAUGACGUGACAUAAAAAGGAAGUUAGGAAGUACUAUUUUAUUUAUUUAUAACCAAGAAAUCCAUCUGUGAUCCGCCCUUUGGACCUAUCACAGCCUUCUAAACUCGAUGGAUAAUGAGCCCGCCCCUAUACCCCUUCUCCACUUAAAUACCAGGCUUCGCUUUGCAUGGUGUGAGACUUGAACCUGCGACCUAAGCCACAAAUCCUCCACCUUUUGCCACUCGAGCUAGGCCUUGGGAGCAGGAAGCUAAUAUUAUUUAUAUUGAGAUCGAGAAAUUUCUACUCUAAGAUUCUCUGAGAUGGAGAAAACCUGUGCUUGAUAGAAUGUGAUUUGAAUUAUGACAGGACUGCACAUUCUGAAAAUGAUUUUUGAACAUAAAGGAAGAGGAAAGAAGUAGACAUUCAAGCUAGAUUAUACUUUGUUUCACUCAAAUUUUCAUGUAUGUUUAUUUUUACGUUGCAAUAGCAUCUAUUACCUUAUAUUUCUUUCUUUCUUUAAUACAAAAUACAAGUUCCACAUAUUUAUUGAUUGCAGUACCUCCUUGUGACGAAAAGUCAUAGGAUGGUGUAUAAUCUUGAAAGUCACGCAGCAGGAAAUUCUUCUGCACCUCGAGUCAUUCUGAGUCGAUCACUACAAUUAAAGCUUGGACUUGACGAUUUUCCCAUCAUCGAAUGUUAUCAUCACCUUGCCAAUUGCUCUCCUAUCUUUGAGAGCAGUAAAAGCAAGAUGGGCCUGCAAAAAGGCAACAAUAAUGUGCGUUGUUUCAAUCCUAUAACAAUCAACAAAAGCUAAAUCUCUACAAUAUUUGAAAGCUUAAAAACGCACCAGUGACAUAAAUAUGUAACAUAGCUUCUGAAAAAAACCUACACUUACCAUGAAUCCUUUCAGAUGAUAUCAUAAUGCAGUUUCCUAAUUUUACACUUAUUUUGUAUGAUGACUUCUAAGUCGCUUAAUCAUCCCAACAAGUGGUUGCUUUGUUGGAGGUGUUAUAUGAUUACAGUUAGUUUAAAGAUAUUCCUUACUUUGACGACGUAGGGAAAGAACACCAUUGUUUCCAGCUCAAUUUGCUAAGGCAUGGUGAAACCACUAUGCUAGGUUUUCCAAGAGCAUAAACAAUGAACUAGCUCCCUAACGCCUUGAAAAAGUCAUAGCUGGUUGAUCUAUAUUUUAUGAGGCAGUAAACUACCACUUUGACAUCAUUUAAGUGAGCUACACCUAAUGAUCUCAAAGUGAACACUUAACUUUGGGAUUCAAUGGUUUAUGCCAGCUAAUGUUGAGCAAG
rnacentral:lncRNA from 1 species